rnacentral:lncRNA from 1 species
CUCUCUCUCUCUCUCUCUCUCUCUCUUACGAUUUUAGACGUGAUAUAUGAUCGGACCGAGUCCAAACCAAAACCUAUGAAUGCUUUGUCUUGUGUGGACGCAGGGGCUCAGGGACCCACACUCUAAAUAAAAUGGCUGAUUCAUGGUUCUUGCAAAACCAUCUCAUUGUUGUUUUCUUAGACCAUGGUAUGAAGUUGAAACUAGUGUUUCAGUCAAUAACUAAAUGCAAAAUUAGGGAACAAGAAUCAAGUUGUUUUUGGGUGUUGAUUCAAAAUUAGACUUUAUCUAGACACUCUCCAACUCAAAUCUGUAAUCAAGUAAGGCUGCAACACGUGCCAAAUGUCUUUUGAACCCAUUGCUGCAGCCCCAGGUUACACAGCUCUGUGUUUCAUCAGGUUCAAUGGUGGUGCUGGUGCAAAUGACUGAAACAAUGGUUUAUUACCUCUAUUAUUAAUGUCAAGAUGGUUUGGCCUUAACAAGUUCGGUCUUUUUCCGCCCAACUUCAGCUGCACUGAACAGUUGGAGAAGGGAACAAAAAUAAAAUUCCGCAUGACAUGCCAAAUCAGCUGAGUUCUUUUUAGUUGAUAAACCUAAAUCAGUUGACUGUCCAAUUGUUUUGCUCCAAAGACAUGGUAUCUCAAUUAUGAAACACGUCACAUGUAAAAUACAUUUGUUGAGCAAUAUGUGCUUCAAAUCAUAGUUGGAUGAAAGGAAGAAAAAAAAGUAUCAACAAUUUAGGUGGAUGUUUCAAAAGUGACAUCAGAAGUGUGGCAUGUAUAUUGUUUCUAGCUCCAACAUCAAGGUGGAUUACUCUGUAUCAAGCUCCAUCCAGAAUCAGAUGAAUUAGUUAUACUGGUUUCAUUUCCUGAUUGUCCACAAGCUGGAUGGUGUUGCUUAUGUCCACAAUAUACCAGGAAUUGUGAGAAAUUCUCUCUUGUAGUACCUUUUAUAUUCUCGAGCUUAAUAUCACUGUCUCUCAUGAAAUGCAUUAUUUGAAAAAUUUGUGUAAUCCUUGGAAGCAACCUCUGAUUACUUCAAUUGAAACACCAGGAGAUCAUUCUAAACUGGUAAAUCCAAUAGGAUGUCUCAAAUUCUGACUCCUCAAGUUUGGAUGGCAAACUUUUUGUUGCAUGAAGAUAUCUAUUUGCUUUUGAUAUCAAGCCGAACAAAAUUAGUAUUUCAUGUAAUCUGAUUAUCCUUUUCCUUUUUCUUUGUAUAUAUCUGCAGGAUUUUGUUGGGCAGUGUGACGAGCUAUGUGUUGUCAAAUGUAUCAUGCCCUGUGACCAUUGUCAAGGAUCCAGACUUCAAACCUUGACAGACUUCCUGGAAAGAUAAAAUCAAGUGCCAAAAUUUUCAAGGUGUGAAGAUUCCUUGUGCUGGGAGAGAGGAGUCUAGUAAUGGACUUGAAAUAAUUUGAAAGUAGUUAAUUAACUUGCUCUUGUUGAAGCAAGUUGCACCUUCUAUAUACAAUACGUUUUGAACUGUGUGCGAAUUGUCAGAAUAAAUUGAGUGAUGUGUAGAUGAUGUGCAUCUUUUAGUUGUUUAGCAUAUCUCAUAAAUCUCUCAUCUUUUCUUUUUAAAUUACUUUCAGUUUGAACUACAUAUCUGAUCUGGAAUAAUUUGUGGUGUUGUAUACACGCAACUUGGAAGAAAGAGCCACAUAUCACCAUUGUUUUUUAUUACUGUGACAAAAUGCUAUGUAGCUGGCGCACUCGAUAUUUUUCCUGUCUAUUGUUUAGCAAUACUUUUGCGAUCACGAGACAUGGAGUGGAUAACUAAUUUUGUAUUUUUUCUAGUUUCAAAUUAUAUUUAAAGUCAUUUCUGAGUGUGUUUUGUGGUUUCUAUUAGGUGACUCUUUGAUUCAUAAGUUUCCUGUAGUCGGCGUUGGAUGAUCAAAAUUUUCAGAAGCCAGUUGAGCACGUUAAGUCUAAGCAAUUAAAGAUAAGUAAUGGAGUCAUGCCUCCAACAGAUGUAUAUCUUGUCUUCUGGUUUGGGACAAUACCUAACAAAAAAAAUCAAAAGAUUUGCAACAUUUCUUUUGCGUUGCAAAUCACAAGUUUGUGCAUCUGGUCAAUUGCAAGGAGUUAUCGAGGUUGCCCAACAUAGAAAGAUCUUAGGGGGUGCUUGGUUUGGCUACUGAUCCGAAUGGAGAUUAGAAUAGGAAUUGGAAUGCUACAUGCUUUGAUGUCUUUGGUUUACGAUGAGAAUCAAGAUUGGAGUGGAAGUGAAAUACUAUGGGAGAGUAGAAAUUUAAUUUAGGAAGAUUGAGAUAUUCUCUUUUUUUUUAAAAUUGAAAUGAAAAUAGGAUUUUUCUAACUAAAUAGUUGAAAUGAGAGUUACUCACUUAUAUUUUCAUUUUGGAGUCUAGCUUCUUGCAGAUUCAAAUCCCUAUUAGAUUUUAUGGGCUCCCAAUUUCAUUUUUCCCAUGGCAAGGAGGCGAAUAGGCACCAACUUGUAGCAAAUGAAAAUUGGCACUCAAACUUAGUGUUGCAGAUGGAUGAGGCCAAGUUCCCAAACAAUAAAUCAAGUCUCAGUGAUGUUGCUACUUUCUUGGUGGUCAGUGUUUUUUGAGAGAAGUUUGGCGUCGAUUCGCUUGGUGGCUCCCCUAUCCUUCCCGGUGCGUGCAGAUUCCUCGUGUGAUUGCUUUUGGCUGCCGAUCCGUUUGGUUCUCAACGGUUGGUCGAUCUCGACCUGGGAAUGACGCUGUCCGAUGUCAUUCUCAGCUCGAGUCUUGGUUUAUCUUAAUUCGGGUACGUUCAUAUUUUUCAUGGGUCGGUACGAUGGAGAACCGGUGACCAAAUAACCCACGUCGAUAUAACGUUUAGCCUGGCAGGAGGGAGAUGGCUCGAUUUAUUUCAAUUUUUGAACCCCAGAGGUAGAAAAAAUAUUUUGUCCCUAUUCCAAUCCAAAGACUGAAUCGUCUUCCCUGCGCUCUUCUACGAUCUCAAUCUUCUCUGGCACCGACAAACAGGGCACUCGUGUCUCUAUGCAAUGUCCAUUCUUGCGCGCAUUCAGUAAUACGUCUCUUUCUUGAAUUGAAGUUUGUGCAACUAUUUCCAUAAUUUCUGGAUGGCUGAUAUUUCAUUCGUUAUUUUAGAUUCAUGUUCUCCCUUCUCUUUUUGAUUAGUUUUUUUAAGGUGAGGUGGGGAUUCUUACAAGAUAAAUAUGAUUUCAAUAUAUAGUGCUUUUAAAUAUCCUUACAUCAGUGGUAGGAUACUUGAUGACUUUGGAGAAGUGUCUCGGUGCACCGAACACUCAUUGCAUUUUUCUUUGGCGCACAGACGACGCACCAUUACUCCCACAGGUUUGUUGCCGUCACUUCACCAUCAUUACUGGCAUUCUAUAUUUCCUUCUCGUUGAGCAAACUGUUGGGAAUUCCUCCUCUCAUUUGAAAUUGUAUGAUUUGCACGAAUAUUAGGGCCUGAUGAAAAUUUUUUUGGAGUAGUGUUUGUGACUCAGACUAUAAUGAAAAAUGGUCCCUUUUCUCUAAGUAUCAAAUUUGCUCUAUGUAACUUUGCACCCACUGAAAUUUUGCUCAUCCAAGAAGGUAGUUUCAUCCUUGAUGAGCAGGUAUUAAUUACUGCCAUGAAUAGUAGAUUUCCUGCCGUCCUCCAUAAGGAUACCUUUUCACUAUUAUUAGUUUUUUAUGCUUACAUAAUGAAAGCUGCAACCAUCGAAAGAAGCACCACCAUGUGCUGCAGUCAAUGGGCGGUCCAAUCCAAUUCUCCCAACUUUGGGUUCGUGGGGUCCAUAACGUUUCUUUCUAUGUCAGCUUCCAUAUCAAGUAGAUCACUUGGACGAUGGUUUGGUUAUGUCCGGUGCCCCCACUUUGUCAUGCUGUGCCUCAUCAAACUUAUGGUCCUGAUGGAGGAUGAAAUGGCCUGGUUGGCACUUUUCAUGUUCUUCUAUUUCACCUAUCAAGGUCAUACCACUUGGUCCCCAAGGGGAUCAAAUCAUCCGGGAUUUGGCGAUGUAGAGAGAAGAAAUAGAAGUUUAUUGCUGCCACGCGAUCUACUAUUGGUUCUAAGUUUUAAACCUGGUUGUUUAUCCUACUCUAAUAUAAGUGCAGCUAGUAGAAUCAAGAGCAAUAAUCUGGCAUACUUAUGAAGAAGGAAUUUCUGGUGUGUUCAAAAAAUCUUUUCAGAAUGCUCAAUAGCAUAGGAAGCUGAUAGAUGAAGGAGUCUCUUCACUUAUGUACCAUAAAAAUGAAGGUUUAGGAGAGGAGAAGAUUUAACUAAUGCCUGUCACAGAGAAAUCGACCGUCACGUCAAUCUUCUUUAAAAUAAAGGUAGUCUCCACAUGAUGAUGAGGUUUUGCAAGUCAACCCAACUAGGAGUUUAGGAGGGGUUACCAUGGUCAGUGAGAUUUCUUAUUUUCUUAAUCUUAGUUUUCAAAUGACAAAGAUAAAGAAAGUCUGGCAAGCUUGUGACCACCCUAACGUUCAAAAGCAGCAUUUUGAAUGUCGAAAAAAAAAAAAAAGGUCCGUUCUUUCAGGCUAGGUAACGGCUAGAAGAAGUUGGUGGGCCUGGUGAGGAACAACCCUUGGUCCUUCAAAUUUUGUUCCAACCAUUCCAGCCUUUUGUACUGCUAACCACUAUCGCAGCAGCGACGUACUACUAACCGGUCUCAAGGACUCCACUCUACUGGUGCUAAUCAGUCGGAGGUUGCAACCACUGGCAUCAUUAAAUCUAUGCUUUCUUGAGGGAGAUUGUACAUAGGGAAGACUGCAAAGGCCUAUUCAAAGCGAAGAUAAUUUAUUUGCUGAUUUGUGACAGCUCAACUGAUUUCUCGAUUUCUCCCCAACCAUAAGGCCCUAAUUGCUCAUUGUUCCUGCCUUUUCCAACCAUUAGAGUUGAUUACAACUAAUAUAUGUUUUAAGAAAUAUCUUAGAGACCCAUAAAAUAACUCCUGGAGAAACAGACCAUUUGCAUGGCUCUCUUUUUGUUGAACAGGAAUUAGCGUUGUCCAUUUUGGAAGCCUAGGAGGCUGAAUUAUUGCUCUGUUUGAAAACCCAAAACCGCCAGAUAGAACCAGUUCAGCUCUCAAAAGGUGGGUGUUCUGAGAUAGUACGGACGUGUGGCUUUGAAGUUGGAGCCCGGCAUCCAUUCUAAAGAGACUUUCAUCUGAAGUUUAACUGGGAGAGCACACCCUUAAAAAAAAUAUGAUAGGAGAUAAAUGGAGGAAUGCUUUAGUGUUUUCCUUUUUCACAUAUUUUGGAAAUGAUUAUAUUUAUUAGUGAUACCAUAUGAAGAAUUAUUCCAAUAAAUGUACCUCUCAUAUUCCAAUAGUUGCAGAUUUUGAAGAUGCCCCAUCGAGCCUAGAAUCAAUCGAACGACUAAAAAUUUUGUCAAGUGGCAAAAUGUGCAUAGAUAAAUAACCUUAAGCAAAUCAAGCAACAUGUCUUUCCAUUUCCUCAUUGAAAUGCCAACAUGUGAUUAAACGCAAACGUAUUGUGUUUUGAAAUUUUAAAAACAAACAGUUGGAGAAUAAUGUCUGCAUUAAUGGUGCUAGUCAAAAGUAGCCUCAUAGUAGAUUUUAUAACAAGAUGAUGCAGUUUCUCUACGCAAUAUCUAUCCUUGUUGUAAUUGUUUACAUUAUUCCAUCAUGAGAACAUAUUGUUGAUAAUUAGAGAUCGUUGCUCGCACCAUUGCUAAGAUGUGGGGACGGCAUGAGGACAGGGACUGCUGCUCAUCAACGUAGCGUGGAUUUGGGUGCCAUGGAAAGGUGGUGGGGUCGCACCUUUGACGCUUUUCUCACAAGCCAACGGCUCUACCAUGCAUGAUCUCACUCUAACGGGUGGGUACUCUUCCUACCAUCCUUCUUCAAAACUUUACCAUCCCUAUUUUAAUUUUGAAACUGGGCUUCGUCUCUUUCCCUCCCCUUCCUGAAAAGCAGGGAUAAAAAGGAGGAAGCCGUUAAAUAGAGAAAGAAAGAGAGGAGAGAUGGGAAGAGGGGAUAAAAAAAUGGAAAGACGCAUUCCAUUGCCGUGAACUUCCCUUGAUAGCCUCACCAUUUAAUAGCCGUUAGAGUAGAAUUUCAAAAAAACAAAGGACUAAGGAGAGCUUCACCGCCACUCCAUUUCCCCUGAAGAUAGUUCAAGUGUUAGAGCGGGCGAGCGAGCGAGCGAGCAAGCAAGCGCCUGCAAUCAUGGCCAUCCUCAACCUCCCUUAGAAAAAUAUAUGAGGAAGCCCCCACAAGCCCUUCUCCCUGCCCCCUUGUUUUCUCCUUCGGAAAUGAUCGCCUUAAUCUAAUGGAGAGACCCCGCUUUCACCAACCAGAGGACCCCAAGAAGCACUACUGUCUUUCGUUAGCCACCUGCGGAGCCUCCAACCUCAUCCCUCUUUCCCUUUUUCGGCUUCUGGCUCUCUACUAGAUUGCUCCGAUUAAGGGACGAGUGCGGCACCGGGUAGCUUCUCUCUAUUUGAGGGAACAGGUGGUGCUCAGAAUGGAUGAUGGAAAGGAGAAGGGUGGUGUUGGCGAUCAUGGUCAUGGGUCGGAAGAUAUUGGGGGAGAGGGCGAGUCCUUUAGCGACUCGGCGGAAGAUGAGUGCCAUGGGAGCAGUUCGAGCUCUGAGACUUCGUCCAGUGAAGAGUCACGAGGCCUUAGCAGUUCCGAGGAAUCAUCCAAGAAGCAUUCGGCAUCGUUGGGUUGGCCAAUGCAGAACCGCAAAACCUCUGAAAUAAUAGGCAAUGUGGAGAAAAGUCGUGAGGAAAAUAGUGGAAUGGAUAAGCUGAAGCCCAACAUUUCAGGUAUUGAAUCUUCUUUCAUGCAUGUUUUCCUUUCCCCCUUCAUUAUCUCUUUGUAACAAAUAGUAAUACCGAUCAAAUAGAUGAAUGGCACUAACUUAGAUUUUUUUUUUUUUUUUUAGAUCUUUUUCUUUGCCCUCACAUGGCUUUGUCAUCAUUUUUUUUAAAAAAGAAAUUUUGUUUUAUGUUUGGUUUCGGAUCCUCAAUCAACAGUUAGUAAAUCUCGUUUAUGUAUUAUUGUUGUCAUUUAUGUAUGUUUUAUGUAUUAUUGGUGUCAAUAUGGACUGCGCUAUCAUGGUAAAUGUGCAUGUCCUCAACCGUACUGGUUUAGCUGAAUGAAGAGUUAUGUUUUGGGGUUCUCUUCUGUAUUCCAGUAGAUAUCGAGAUGAUGAAGGAGAGGUUUGCCAAGUUGUUGCUUGGAGAAGACAUGUCAGGCUCUGGGAAAGGGGUCUGCACCGCAUUGGCCAUUUCGAAUGCUAUAACUAAUCUCUGUGGUAAGUUUUGAUAGUUCCCUGGUUUUUUUGGUUGCAUUCGUUUAUAACUAAAAUUUUGUUUGCUGAAAUAAAUUCUAUGAGCCUCAACUAAAACGUUCCUGUACCUUCUGUCCUAUUACAGCCACUCUCUUUGGGCAGCUUUGGAGGUUGGAGCCUUUACCUCCCGAGAAGAAGUCAAUGUGGCGAAGAGAAAUGGAGUGGCUUCUCUGUGUUAGCGAUCACAUAGUCGAACUGGUACCCACUUGGCAAACAUUUCCUGACGGAAGCAAGCUGGAGGUGAUUACUGUUCCCGAAGCUCUGUAGGGAUUAAAAUUGCCUUUGCAUCCAUGCAUUUGGCUAUCUGUUGCAUCUGUUACUUCACCACGCAUGAGUCUGUUUCUUAGGUGGGUUGGGUUGACUCUCACUGGAAUGCUCGCUCACUGUUCUCAAUUAUUCAUCAUGUCAAUCAAAUCUAACUGUUACAAAAAAAUUUCAUCUGUGUGCGUAUGUGCGUACAUGUAUACAUAUGUUUAUAUCGAAGUCAAUGCCUGGUUGGUUCCUUGGAGGUGUUCUCAGUUGUUUUGUUAUAACUCACUAGUCUUGAAUAGAUGCAUAAACGGUGCAUGGUUCUUGAUUUUUAUUUCAGGUCAUGACUUGCAGACAACGAUCUGACCUAUAUGCCAAUCUUCCAGCACUGCGCAAACUAGACAAUAUGCUUCUUGUGAGACUCGAUGCUGCUUCCUGAUUCUUAAUCUAAACUCGAGUGAGGGUCAUGAUUCUUAUCGAGAAUUUACGCUUCGCAGGAAAUAUUGGACAGCUUUAGUGAUACAGAGUUUUGGUAUGCCGAUCAAGGAGUGCUUGCAAACGAGUCUGAUGGGUCGGCCUCUUUCCGUGGAACUCUUCGUCGUCAAGAAGAGAAGUGGUGGCUGCCUGUGCCUCGUUUACCUCCUGGCGGUCUCCAUGAGAAGACGAGAAAGCAAUUGCAGCACAAACGUGAGUGCGCAAACCAAAUCUUGAAGGCUGCAAUGGCUAUCAACAGCAAUGCUUUGGUUGAAAUGGAGGUUCCUGAGUCGUAUCUCGAGUCCCUUCCAAAGGUAUAUGCUGCUUAUCUCUCGUACUUCUAAAGCAAGGCCUACUCUCAAUAAAUAAUGAUCAGAAUUGAGCUCCAUUGCCGCCGUCGAUUUACAGCAACAGCGAAUGGAUAUAUCUUUUCUACUUGUAUGAUCAUAGUAUUGUGGCAUAACGUCUCCCUUCAUUUUGAAUAUUUGUAUAGCUUUCUACAUGUCAUGAACCCUGAUGUUUGUUAUUCGUUUGUUCUUGGUCCGCAGAAUGGAAGAGCAUGCCUAGGCGAUGUGAUAUAUCGCUAUAUCACUUCGGAUCAAUUUUCCCCUGAAUGCCUUCUCGAUUGCCUUGAUUUAUCCUCCGAGCACCAAGCUCUAGAGAUUGCCAAUCACGUCGAGGCAUCAAUUUAUGUAUGGCGUCGGAGAACGUUUGCCAAAUCUACGAAUAAUACAAAUCGAACCAACACUAGAUCAUCAUGGGGUAUGGUCAAGGAUAUCAUUACGGAUGCUGAGAAAAGAGAGUUGCUCGCUGAUAGAGCCAAGUGCCUCUUGCUAUGUUUGAAGCAGAGGUUCCCUGGUCUGACACAAACAACCUUGGAUAUGAGCAAAAUCCAAUUCAACAAGGUUUGUCUUCCUCCCUUGCUUUGAACGCGGUUUAUGCUUGCAUGAAGACCUUUCGGAUUGUGAAUGGCUUUUGCGAUGAUCCAACUUUCAGGAUUUUGGAAAAUCCAUUCUGGAAAGCUAUUCCAGAGUCUUGGAGAGCCUCGCGUACAACAUUGUUGCUCGCAUUGAUGACCUGCUUUGUGCUGAUGACUUGACCAAACAUUCGGACCAGUAUUCGUCAUCGAUUCACGCAGUUGGUGUCGCUUCUCACAAGAAAGUCCCAGUUCCAUGCUUGGUGCCCGUCUCAGGCACUCCAUAUGCGACUGCUUAUGCCACACCAAGCUUCUUGCCCACACCUUCAAUGAGUCCAGUGCUGGGAGAGAGGUCUCCAUUGAUCAGCAGAAAGUCUCAUACUCGUGGAUAUGGCGUGAAGAAAGUUCUGACAAAUUAUCUCGGAGUUGAGGUGAAGGGAAAAGAGACUAGCAGCAGAGCUGAGGUAUCAGCACCGAUUUCAGGCGUCAGUCUAGAAGCCUGAGCGAGCUUCUCUUUCACAAAACAAUAGGGACUCGGAAAGCCGGCAGGACCUCGCUAUAUUAAUUAAUUAGGUCGUUGACUUGCCAUAAGAUUCGAGGUGAUCUUGUGAAAAAGAAGAUUAUGAUGAUGGUUCUCACGAGGGUUGCAAAAACAAAUGCUAUCCUGACAAUUUCGUAUUCCACUAAGCUAGCUCAGCAUCUGGUGUGCUGUUCUUGUAGUGAUUGAUGAGCAGUGUUAUUAUUUACACAUCACAAGGUUUUUGUAACAGUUUCCAAUAGUAUUUGCUUGAUUUUUUUUUUAUUAAUAGGAAUUGUAUCUUUUGCAGCUGUACGUGUGUCGCAUUUUAUAUAAAAUUUACGUUACGUUGGAAAUUGUCAGUGUCUUGGAUUUGUUUUACAGUGCUGGUGGUUCAAUUAUCUGAAGCUUUUUUUGGGGGCAUUCAGAUGCGAGAUAGCUUGAUGAUGAAAUUAAUAGACUUUUAUCUUAACGAGCCUACUUUCACUCUUUACUACCUUAAAGUUUCUUGCAUAAUACCUUAAGUCUAUACUUUGUUUUUUUACUGGCAACUGGUUCACUUAAAAAGAAGUCCAUAUAGAGGAUUUAUGGACAUGGAAAAGGAGUUCAAGAAGCAGAUAUAUAAUAUAUAUAUUUGCUGCCACACAGAUGGCAUGUCUACAAGAAGCAGAAGCUUAAAGAAGCUGAAAAGUGGAGGACAACAAUAAUUACAACAAUGGGAAUGGAGUAGGUGACCUCGCUCGAACCAUUCUGUUGAGAGAUAGUGCUGCAACAAAGGAAAAGGAGUUCAAGAAGCAGAUAUAUUAUAUAUAUAUUUGCUGCCACCCAGAUGGCAUGUCUACAAGAAGCAGAAGCUUAAAGGAGCUGAAAAGUGGAGGAUAACAAUAAUUACAGCAAUGGGAAUGGGGUACGUGACCCCGUAGUGCCGAGUCCAUUAAGGCUGUAUGGCUUAUGAGGUGGCAUGGCAGUCAUCUAUCACGACGAUUGAUGACUCCGGGAGUUCAUCAGUAUAUAUAUACCCAAGCAAACAGGCACGGUUUGUGCAAAGUAUUAGUGAGAGAUGGAGGCCUCAAGGAAGUAUCUCUGCCUUCUUGGAUUGUUUCUGCUUGCAGGGGCGGUAGGAUUGGAGGGUGUUGAUGGAGCUGGGGAAUGUGGGAGGGUUCCUGCGGAUAAGAUGGCUCUGAGGAUGGCUCCCUGUGCGUCGGCAUCGCAUGAUGCUCGCGCCCCGGUUUCAGCUCAAUGCUGCUUGGUGGUGCAGAAGCUGGGCAAGAACCCAAGAUGCCUCUGUGCUGUGAUGCUCUCAAACACUGCAAAGAGAGCUGGAGUCAAGCCGGCGAUAGCAAUGACGAUCCCCAAACGGUGCAGACUUGCACACCGCCCUGUGGGUUACAAAUGUGGAGGUAGGUUGAGUGUUCUCAUGAUGCUCCUUCUAUACUUUCUUUUUUCUUCUUUCCAUCAAAUUCUUUGUGGUUUUCCUGAAAGAAACCAACCUUUGCUUGCAGGUUAUACCUUGCCUUAAGCAUCGAGAAGUUGAGGAAAAACGGAUCACUGUGGAAGAAUAGUGGAAGUAUUUCUAGCUGCCAGUUUGUUGGAUAUGAUGUUUUGAGCUCAUCUUGGACUAUAUGAUGGUGGACUAGUUGUAAUAUGCUGCUGGUAGUGUGUGAACCAUGAAGCAUGUAUAUCCUAAUAAAUCUAAUAAAUAAAUAAGUUAUUGAUGUGUUGAAUGAAGCUGCAAAUUUUUAUGCAUGAUUUUGGCUGCACUUUUGGUGCAGUUUAGUAUGUCAAAUGCAGCCCGAUCACUUUCUGCCGGAGGAACGAAAAGGAAAGUAAUGCACUUUAACAAUUUGUUCCCUGAUACAAGUCCAACUCACAUCAAACUGAAACUCAAACCAUCAAAUAUUGCGAGCAGUCUGUCGAACAUUUCAAAGAGAGUAGGUCAUGAGGGAUAUACUUACCUGGAACCACAUUUCCUUUCACAGAAAAUGAAGACAAAUUUCCGAUUAAUGUUACUUUAUGUGCACACUUGUAAAUCGUUCCUGGUUUUGACCGCUUCGAGCCACCCAACAUUGCUAGGGUUCUCUUCACUUAGUUUCACCGAACGUACCACUAAUUUUCCCUCGAGUUUUGGUUUUGAUUUUUCUUUCCCCCAUAAAUGUAACCUUCGUUUGGAAAAAAAAAAUGGAACUAUGUGAAGGCUCUCUUGUUCCUUCCACAUUUGUCUUCUGAUUCAGGCUUGCAUGAGGGAGUAAUUGUUGGGUAGAUUAGCCACCACCGUCUCAUGGCCUUAAUUUAAUCUCAAGUUAUAUAAUAGAUUGCCUUCAGUGAAGUGGUCGGACAUCACUUUGGAACAUUUAGUAGGCAUUUGGCGCUAUGCAUAUGGCUUUUAAAAUUAAACGAAGAUUACGGGCAUCACCAUCCCUGUUUUUCUGAAGCAGGAUAUUAAGAAGACUAAGAUGGUGUCAUCUUCUUGCAUUACAAAAGUAACUUCAUCCCUUGCCGGCUACAGGACUGCGGCUGCGGCAUGUGGUUUUACAUAUCUAAAGGGACAAUUCAGGUUCGGGUCAAAACGAAUCAGGUCAAGAUUGGAUUGACCUAAUUCCGAUCCGAAAAAUAAAACAGGUUCAAAUUUAGGAUCCAGCUCAGCCCCGUGGGUCCUAAAAUUCGGAUCGGAUCAGAUCUAUAUGGGUCGGGUCGGGUCAUGGGUCAACCCGACCCAUUUGCAGUUACCAAGGAACCAAAUACUAUUAUUAGUUCUCUUUUCAAUUUGGAGGUGUGAUACAAUUUUCUGUAUUUUUAUUUAAUUACCUGGUGUAUGUUUGUUCAUGGUUUGGAAGCAUUGGAAGCACCAAUGAGGUCAAUGGGCAGUGGGGACAACUCCGCUCAAAACAAGAAAAAGAAAGGAAAAAAAAAUGUAAAACACGAUCUUGACCGUAAAACCUCGAAGGAAAUUUAACAAAGAGGUUGCUUAUGAUGGUUUCGAACCUAAAUCUGCCUAAAAGCCAGCACUAUGCACAUGCGGAUGAUUCCACAAGUCAAAUAGCAUACCCCGUAUUUAGUCUUGGGUCUUGUAACUAAGAUCGACUCCUUUUUCUUUCAUUUGAGAUCUCAUUCAUCUCCAAGUUUGUUUCCUCAUUCGGUCCCUCCCCUCCCCUCCCCUUCCCUUCCCUUUGUAGCUAGCGCUCAACCAUGGCAAAGGAUCAUCCCACCUUCUCCUCCAAUUUCUACCAGCUCUGCUGCUUCCUCUUCGUCUUUUCCGCACUAACGCCCAUGUCUUUCGUAUAUUGGUCUCGGUGCUUUGCUCCCUGUAAAACUGAAUCUGCCAUCGCGCUACCAAAGCAGAACCAAACUUUUGAUCUCCUUGCCUACCCUUCUGCAUGGAACCACCUCUCCUUCUCUCCCGGUCCGCCACCCAGGCUCCUCAAGAUAGCUCUCUUCGUGAAGCGAUGGCCGCGUCGGAGUCUUGCCGGAGGCCUGGAACGACACGCUCUCACCCUCCAUCUCGCCCUCGCCCGAAGAGGCCAUGAGAUCCAUGUCUUCACAACCUCAUCAAGCUCCGCCUUUCCAGACUACCCCGAUGCCAAGAUAAAAUUCCACGCGACCCCGCCAAGUCCCGCCGGUUACCUCAACCAGGCUCUGGCAUGGGAGCGAUUCCGCGUCCAGAAUACCACGGGGAAACCCUUCGACAUGAUCCAUACCGAAAGCGUCGGCCUCUUGCACGGCCGUGCCCGUAAUCUCAGCCAUCUUGCUGUUUCCUGGCAUGGUAUAGCCUACGAAACCAUACAUUCCGACAUCGUCCAAGAUCUCCUCCGUGGUCCGCAAGAGCCUCGUCCCUCCGUAUUUACAGAAAGAGUCGCCAAGGUGGUUGAUGAAGUCAAGUUCUUCCGCGACUAUGCCCACCAUGUAGCUACGAGCGAUCAUGUCGGAGAUGUCCUCAAGAGAAUAUAUAUGAUUCCAGAAGAACGAGUUCACAUAAUUGUAAAUGGUGUCGAUGAAGAUACCUACAAACCGGAUGCAGCAAGCGGUAGGGAGUUCCGGAGGAAGGUCGGGGUCCCCGACAGCGCGACUCUAGUAGUAGGACUGGCGGGGAGGUUGGUGAAGGAUAAAGGCCAUCCAUUGAUGUUUGAAGCACUGAAGCAGGUCUUCAUGGAGAAUGCGAGCUUCCAAAGAAACGUCUACGUCCUGGUUGCUGGAGACGGACCAUGGGGUAAUAGAUACAGGGAGCUUGGACCAAAUUUACUUGUUCUGGGUCCUUUGGAGCAGAAACAAUUGGCCAGCUUCUACAACUCGCUCGAUGUCUUCAUUAAUCCGACGCUCAGAGCGCAGGGGCUGGACCAUACCUUUAUCGAAGCGAUGCUUUCAGGUGUAUCCGUGAUGGGCACACGGUUUGCCAGCAUCACAGGCUCUCUGAUCGUGGGGCCAGAGAUCGGCUACACGUUUUUGCCGACGGUCGAUUCACUCAAGAAGUCCUUGAACAGAAUUCUGGGAGAUGGAAGAGGGGUGCUCGCGAAGAAAGGUGAGGUUGCGAGAAACAGAGCACUGCAGCUAUUUACUGCGGCAAAGAUGGCGGCAGCUUAUGAGAGGCUCUUCCUGUGCAUCUCUAAAGGCGCUGAAGUAAAAGAUAAUAAUGAUUACUGCAAAUACCCACUUCCACGGGACCGAUGGAGGUGAUAUUGCUCAAUCCAUUUGGAUGGGCGGUAGUUAGUGCUACAAUAAACAAACUGUAGUUGAUAUGGUGCUGCCUCCAUUAAGGUUAUAUGCGCUGUGAGAUGGCAGUCAUCUAGUGUUUUGGAUAAUGUCUUCUAGGAGCUCAUCUAGUUAUAAAUACCCCAUUGUCGAUCAUGUUUUUGUGCAUUGAAGAGCGAGAGAUGGAAGUUGCAAUGAAGUACCUCUGCAUUCUUGGAUUGCUUGUGGUUGCCAGUAUCGCUGGGUUGGAGAGGGCCAAUGGAGCUGGGGAAUGUGGGAAGGUUCCUGUGAACAGAAUGGCCUUUCGGAUGGCUCCGUGUGCAUCAGCAUCACAAGAUGCCGAGGCCCAGGUUUCGAGUACGUGCUGUGCAGAGGUGCAGAAGCUAGGCCAGAACCCAAGUUGCCUCUGUGCUGUUAUGCUGUCGGAUACUGCAAAGAGUGCCGGAGUCAAGCCUGAAGUAGCAAUCACAAUUCCCAAGCGGUGCAACCUGGCAGAUCGCCCUGUGGGAUACAAAUGUGGUGGUGAGUUUUGAGUACUGUAAUGUUUUAUUUUCUCUGCUUUUCUCCCAUCAGAUUCGUUUCACGUUCUCCUCAAAACGAUCUGUCUUACGUUUGCCUGCAGCGUAUACCGUGCCUUGAAGAACAGAGGGUUGAAGGAAGACUGGCGACCGCUACUAGUAGCUUCUGGAGUAAUGCCUAUGAUGCUGUAUCUCCUGUUGGCAUAAAUAUGAUGUUGAAAAUGCCAUAUGGUGUCAGACUUGGUGUAUGGACAUAGUAAAUAAAUGGUUGCUUGCUGUGUUGAGACUCGAGAGUAGUCUUGGCUCUUGUUCUGGUGAUGAAGUUGUUCAAUUUUAUCAUCGUGUUAUGAAAUAAAUGCAUCUAAGUUCUGUUUCAAGUGAUGAGUUUGGUGAUCACCUACCUGAUACGUAGUAGAUGAUUCGCAAGAAUUUAUUACGAUCAAUCCAAAUAUACUCUCACAUGUGUUCUAAACUUCCACAGGUCAAUGAUUCCUCGUGCUUUAUAAACCACAGCUUUGUUUAUAUUUUUCACUGCCUUCGGCUGAGUUUAAACAAUUUUAGUGCGUCGUAUUCUGCUUUAGAAACAUCUAAAUCUGAAGGCGUUCUAAAUCGACGAGGAGCGUCAAACUUAGCAGCUAUCUUGGGUUUCAAAUAAUAUGUUUGUGAUGCCUGUGGAUACAAAAAACAUCAAUUUUACAUCCUCCUCACCCUCUCAGGAUUGCUAUUUUUUUUUAGGUAAUGUCCUCAAGGUGGAAUCGUCCAGGAUAACUUCCCAGUAGAGUCUAAAAGUUGAAAGGGGAUCCUAGCAGCACAGUACAUUAAACAUGUUAAGACCACACAAAAGUAUAGAAAUAGGUCCACGGCACCACUCUAAUGCUAUUUCAUUGGGGAAAUCAAUGUCUGCCCCACGGAUUGAUUGCCAUUUUAUGUUUAAUCCUUGAAAGAAAAUUUUUAUGGCUGAUCCCUUGACUUCGAUGGCAAUGUUGUGUUUCAUCAUCCCUUGCUGGUAUGUUUGAACAAAACAAGCCUUUGUACAGAAACAAGAAAACUUCUAUGUACAAGUAUGAAACAUAAAAUACUGCAUAAAUAAGUAAAUUAAGCAGGCAGCCAUGAAAAAAAAAGACGUUUACGUAUCCCCUCCGUCCCCAAACUGCAUCUUCCUCUUCUCCUCUGAUUUUUUUUUUUCAAUAAAUUUCGUAGCCAUAAAAUGCAGCAGGCCGAGCUCAAGGUAGAAUCCACGAGAGACAUGUUUGACGUCCAUCCCACAAAGCAAGGACUUGCUACAGCUCUAGAUUGUCCUGCAAGGCUUCAUAUAUAGAUUAAAGAACAAAGGAUGCUUGCUGUAAUCUGAUGAUCCGGCAUGCUGAGGGUAAACAGGCACACAUAUUUCAUCUUCUUAAUUAAAUCAACAAAAACCUGACAUAAUCAUUAUAAGCAACGGAUUCAUAGACACAUUGAAUUAGACUAAUUUUCUUUGUAUAGGCCAUACAACACAAACUUAUAGAAUCUACUUAAUAUUAUAUAAUUAUAUAUUAAAAGCAUACAUAAUUAAGUGGCCAUUCAUCCUCGUUACAAUUGAAGCUGGAGGGAUGAAGGCCUAGUAUAGUUUACUGACAAGACAAAGUCCAAAACAAGAAAACCUAUCCAGGUUUCAGGUCUGCUGCUUCAUUAAGUAUGAACAGUCUUUGCAACUUUCCACCCUAAGAUAUAAACAGUGAAAAAAAAAACUGAUUGUUUGGUUCGUCAAAGCUGAUGCUUCUAGUAACAAAACCAAAUACAAGUUUCACUACUAGUUGGACGACAUAGCAGCCAUCUUUAACAGCUUCCUGAAAUACCUGUUAGCAAGGUAUGUGAUCUCUGAAAAUUAGAAAAGCUUACCAAAAAAAAAAGUUGGAAAAAAAAAGGAAAUGCACAGGAAAUGCAGUUGUCUAGGAAAAGAAAAAAAAACAGAAGAAAAAGAAGGCUACACGUAUUCAAGAAUUGGUUACAAUAAAUACAUGUAACUUACAGACACUCCACUAACUUAUACACCAGGGACACCACCAAGGACCUUUUUGUGCAAAAUUUAUAAUUUCACAUAAAUGUUGAUUAUAGGAGCUCAAUUAUCUAUUUUUCAGAUACUACUGUCGAAUUUAUGGAGCAAUAUGAUGGCCGAAAGAGAUUCUGUUCACUGUCUAGUGUAAAGUCCGCGUUCUGUACAUGAAUUGUAUGCCUAAAUGAUGGCUAAUUAUAUGCAACUUUUAAGGGGACGACAUCAUGAGAAAUUUCAUCUCCUAAAAAUCUUCAACAUAUGCCUUUUCUCUUGCUUUUAUGCUCGAAUCUACGCCUCUCAUGUUUGACGCUAACCACUAAAGCAUCUCCUCACUUAGCUUUAUUACCCCAUAGUAUGAUCGUGUUAGGCUGUUUGAUAAAUAGAGGUGCGCUGGCCGAACUUGCACUGUUGCGCACGACAACCUCCUUUCACAGGACCAUCUUUAUCACCUAUACCAUGUUAAACAUGACAAGAUAUUGAACUAAAAACAAGUGCUGUUCAUGAGAGAAUGAAAUUCUUUGGCGCGUUCGAAGCCACAUAAACUAUUAGAACAAGUUUGGGAUGUGGUAUGUUCAAUAGCAAUGAAAGCGCUCCAUAUUUUUUUCCCCGAGAAAAUAAAUACACCGUAUUGUGGGAUUUUACACUGUUUUGGGGGGAAAUGGUCAUCCAGCAGUUACAGUUAACAGCAAAUAUUUCUUUCUUAAGUUCAAGAAGUGAAAAUUGAUUAUCAACCACCUAGUACCAAACUAUAGAACAUAAUCUGGAGGAUUCAAUAGAAUAAUAGGGAUGACCAGCAAGAGUCAGAGAGCUGAGACCCAACCUGCUCAUACUAGUUAAAGCUUUAGCAUUGCAAGCAUAAGCAUGGAGUGAAUCUAUAAUGUGCUUACUAGCAGAUCGAUGUUGAUAAGAGUUACGGAUGUAUUAUUGGUCAUGUAUAAAUAAUCAAUCACUUGAAUAUUCACAUAGAGAGCAAGCAAGCACAAGAGAGAGAGGUAAUAUGGCUGCUGAAGCACUAGUUAUGGUAAUGAACAAAAAAAGAAGAAGAGAAGAAAAUGCCAUCCUGCUCCAACAAUACUGCCCAAAACAACAACAAUAGCAUAGCAACGAGUUCAUCAAAAGGAAAAUGCACUAAAAUGAACCUAUAAAGUAGUAAGAUAUCUGCAAUUUAAGUUAAUAGGUCUACAAUGACUAUUCUUAUUCUAAAUCUACAAAAUCUACAAAUAGUUGUUUGAAUGUGUCGCUUGAAUUAUUCAGAAUAUUUUCUUAUAAAAGACUUGCAAACCACACAUUAACAGCUAAUUUGUUAUUGCUUGAUACUUGAGGGGCAUGGGAAUCAAGUCGUGCUUGCCAGAAAACUAGCAAGUAUAGGUUACAAUUGAUUAUCUUAGAAUAUCUGAAUAUAGCAUUAACAAGGAAUGUAUGAAGGUAGAUGUUAUAGCCAUAUGCUCCAUCAAUCAUAAUCACCCCUUUAAAAGGUGGAGAUUUCCUGUUUCUAUUACCGUCCGCAAUUGGAGAAGAGACCAAGAGAAUUUUGAUGGAGAGAAGAGACAACAAUACUAGGUACUGGAGUUUAACAUGGACAGGAUCCAGUUGUGAUGGAUUCCAUAUAGAAGGAGGAGGCUUGUUGAUGAAUUGACGCUAAUCUUUAUGGUUCAAGAGAAAAUUGAAAGUGUUGAGAUGAGAAUCGAAGAAUUAGGGUGAGAUACAAGAUAAUGUGCAUUGAAAAUUCUGAACGAUUGUGUUAAGAAAAACAUGAAACAGAAGUAAUCUAGACAGAAAAAAGAAGUAAUCUAGAAGUAACAAAUCAUCUGAAACUGUAAAUUUAUAGAAAAUUACUAGUAGAAAGUUUAAUAGAAGUGAUGUAUUGAAAUAGACGAGUUGAGGUAACUGUCAUGAGAUGGCAACAUAGGGAAUACCAAGAGACCAGAAAUCACUAUUAAAUUGUUUAAGGAGGAGAUGAUAUUUGGGAUUAUAGAAAGAUCACAAAUUACAACCUAAGCGCAGUAAAUCAAAAUGGAAAUAGUAAAUAUAAAUGGCACAGCUAGGAAUCAUAUAUCUCUGUAUCAACAAUGUAGGAAAUCCAGUAAUAAUACAACCAUGAUGAAAAAGCUGACAAGCUCCAGAAUAUGGUGAAAUUUUCAAAAAGCUAGUUGUCAAUGGCUUCCUGUUAAAUGAGCCAAACAUGAUUUCAGAUGAAACAGAAGCAAAAGAAAAGUCGAAUUAGAACUGCUAAUCACCACCUCAAUCAUCUUUCACUGUGUCUCUCUUCAUAUAGCAUGCUAUGCCUGAUAUCAAGCUUGAAUUUUCAGUCAUAAAAUCACCAUCUUAGAACAAAUGAAACCCAAUUUGUAUUCUUCAAACUAUGGUAUUUAGGAAAAAGUAAGGGUUACAGCUCAUGGAUGAAAGUAGUUAGAAAUUAGAAUGUGUUGAAAGAUUACUGUAUCAAUGUCUAUACCUGUAGUAUAAGGAGAAAAAUCAAAUAUCUUCAUAACAGAAAAAAAGGCACAGCAGAUUAGUAAAUUUUUCAUGCAAAUACAAAUUAACAACACAUGAAGAAUUUUUAACGUCAGGAGACCAAAUCUAAUCAAGGUAAUGAGUCAUAAAUCAAAUCAUUUCCAUUUGGGUUGCUAUGAGCAUGCAGUAUCACACAACAAAUAAGAAUUACGGCAGUCUUGCAAUUGAAAAAAUUUAAGGAAGUAUCUUCAUCGAUAAAGCCUAAAGUUAUACAGAUCUGAAUGAUAUUAAUGAUGAUAAAAUCGCUGUUAGCAGAUUUAUGUCAAGAAAAACAAAAAUAUAUUAAAUGCUAAUUUUGCAAAAUUUAUCGAUUGUGAGGUUGCAUCAACAAACAAAGUAUAGAACACAAACUAAAGCAGUUAAAUCUGUCAACCAACCUUUGAGAAACAUACAAGCAAAAAAUGUUUGCAAUACAGCAAUGAUAACAUGUAAUAUCUUAUCAAAACCCUUUGGCCAACAAAUUAUUCAAGCUGGCAUGAUGUGUACAUGGCCAUAUUUAUAUAAUUACUUCAGAAGAAAAUAAGGAUGACAAGCUUUUAGAACUACAAUAAUAAUUGAAAGUGAUAUAUGCAUGAAAUUAAUACUGAACUCAGCUUCAAAGUACCCUCUUCCUACCUAAAUGGAGAGCAUGCUGGUCUAGAUAAUAUCCUCAAUAGUAAAGUGAACCUGGCAAAGUAAGAAAAAAAUGGAUAAGUUAGAGAACUGUUUGUCUCCUCAAUACAUGCUAUUUACCCAAAAUUUUUAGACUGGUAUUGUACCUUGCCACCAAUCACCUCUAGUAGCAACAUUUGAAUCACCCAAAUCAUCUUCACCAUUGUUUUUAUACUGCACGAGUUUAGAACACAAAGAAAUACAAAAUGAUGCAUGUUAUAGAAUUGGAUUUCAUAUUCCCAAAGUACCAAAAAAAUAUAAAAUUCAAUCACACAAUCAAGCAUAAAUACUUUUAAUUACAUCUCGUAAUUUGUUACCUUAUAAAUGUUAGUUUUCACUUACAUUAUUAUAAGCUCCAGAACUCUGCAUGGAUGGAGAGCUGCUAUAAAAUUCUCUGCCACCAUAAUGAAUAGAAGAGCCGAAAUAGGACGAUUCAGUUGAUUCAAUAGGAUAGGCUGAUUUCCCAUCUUUGUUGCUUGUGUUGUGGCUUUUGCUUGGGCGGCCUUGACAUUUAUCAUCUGCAGGUGUAACUUUAUAGCAGAGUUUGUCAUUAACAAUAGUCUAGAAAUAAUAUGUAAUACUGGAUCUAACAGAACCUAUAGUUGCAAUCAAAUCCACAAGAAACAGACCGACAUGUAUUGGUUAAGUAGAAUCGCAGAUGCUUUAUUAGUUAGUUCAGCAUUAUAUCAUUCUAUCACUUCUCCCAACAUCGAGCUUCAAGAAUAUAUUGAAGCACAAGAAAUGGAUAUGCCAUGGCCUAACAAAAAGAGAUUUUUGGUCCUUUACUCCACAAGCCCUAAUCUUGUGUUAUCAGAAUUCCACUUCACAAAUAAAUGAAUUCAGGCAUGCAUUACAAUCUUCAAGUAUGACUUUGGAACCCAUCAACAAGUGGUGGCCUCUCAUAGGUUAUUGGUAUUCAAGCAUCGAGGAAUGACAAUCUUUGAAGCAGGUGUCUUCUACAUGACAUAUAAGACAUGAAACAGAAAGAAACAAAGAGCGUUGAAUUUGAACAGUGACGUCAAGAAGAGAAUAUUCAAGAACCUGCUCUUGAGCUCUGAGCAUUCCCUAUCCGACCCUCAGUUCUUUGCUUGUCCAACGUCCAGUACAAGUCGGAAUGAGCCGAAUCCUUUCCCACGACCUAACAUCAUAAAACAGAGAACGAUCAGAGCCUGAAGCAUGAAGCCACCGUUACAAAGCCCCAAAAACACGAGCAGCAGCCUAUCGUACACUACCAAUCAAAGAUAGAAUACAUGCAAGAUCUAUAUGUGAGGCAUAGAAAGUGUCAGCUCGAAUUCAAUCCUAACUACAAAGUACAGAACCAUAUCAUUCCCAUGAAGAAUCACAAAACCCAACAAGCAGAUCCAACCUAACAAUCCGCAACUUUCAAAUGACAAAAUCAAAAAAUCCAUCAAGUAUAAACAGCAAACAACAUAAAUUUAUAAAACCCCAAACCGAAAAGAAAAAUGCACAACUAAGCCAUGCACACGACACGAAUAAGCCCCAAAACCUCGCAAACCUAAAAGCCGCAUCCCAGUAAUAACUUGAGUGGAAAUUCCGACAACACCAAUGAGGUAGAAGUCGUGCAACAAGAACAUAAAACCAAAACCUCGGGACGGAUCACGAUAACUUCUCUCGUUUGUUUCGAUCAGAAUCGAUCACGAUCAACACUAACAAAGCAGCAGAAGAAGUUACCGAUGAGGCAGGAGGGAAGACGCUGCUGAAGUAGCCAGAGGAUGCGGAUGAGGAGGAAGCAGAGGAAGCCGCGGCCUCCUUCCGGCCGAAAAGAUCAUCGGCAAUUCUCGAAGAAGAAGAAGAAGACGAAGCGGUGGGUUUCUUGCCCUCCAUCCUUUGCUUUCCUCUUGGUAUCCCAAGAAACAAAACUACCUCAACCCAGGGUAUUUCUCUAUCACCAAACCCAGAACCCAGCACUAAUUGCGACGCAGUGAGCGCCUGAAACCCGCGAAGGGAGAGGAUAAGAAGGAAAUAAGGGACCGGCGACCCUUCUCUUUGUUUCGUGUCGGCGCCUCCACGGCCCUUUUAAGAUCCCUCCUUUCCCAUACUGUUGCUUUUUCGUCUACUUUUUUACUCCUAUUUUCGUCCAAGAUUCAUCCCCAAAUCUCACUCCCAUAUUCGUCCGAUUUCUCGCUUUUCAUUUUUUUUCUAUAUCUUAUUGUGAUUUGUUAAUAUUUUUAAGAUACGUAACGUGGGUAGAUCUUUUCAUUUUUUUUUCUAGCUUGGUCGGUCCGAGGCCAACCCCAACCUCUUCAUCUCCAAGCCCACCACCGCCCAUGCUGAUGUCCAUCUCCGGGUCGUCUCGUCUCGUUUACGCAGUAGUCGAGUUUUAAUUACUCGCACGUUUGAUUUGAUAUGCAGUGGAUACCGGCCAGUCAAAAUGUAGAAAUUCGGUCGACGUAUCCAACUGGGAGUUUCUCGACUUCUGUAUCUACUUUAUCUACUUUUCCAAGGUAGUUCUCAGCAGGAACCGUUCUCCCCCGCAGAACUUAUCGGAUUACGGCUUGUUCAAACUUUGGUUAAUAUAGGUGAUGGGAGAAAUAUUUAAUAUCUUUACUUUGGAUUAGACCGAGAUUCUUAUUUUCCGUAUUAGUUAUGGUAAUACUACAAUCAAUGCGCGAUCGGCAUAAUUACCGCUGCGUGCUCAUGUAGGUUGGUUUCCAUAUUGUUAACGUACAACGAACCGUUACCUUGUAAUUAAAGUAUGCCACGCUAAAUCAAAUAACAGAUCAGUAUGCUACCAUAUAUAAAGGGAUGGCUUAGGGAUCCUUGGGUAAACUCAUUUUUAGAGACUACUUUCUAUGAAGUUUUUUCUUCUAUAUUAUUACUCUACUAUUCUAACUUAACUAUCAAAGGAUUUUCAACCAAAAAUUUUUUGGUAGGUGGAUUUCUUGCAGGUUGGCCUCGAAGGCGACCAAAUCUUCCUCACUUCAGUCUCAUCUGACUUCAUUCAGCUCGGUUCUUACCGACCUCAAGGCGAGCUGAGCACCGUCCCGACCUCGGUUCAGAAUUUCGUAGCUCUAGAUUGGUGCUAAAAAAAAGCGUAUUAUAGUACCGACACUAAAAAAGGGGAAAAAUCAUCAAUAUGAGAUCACGAAGAAAUCGCGGAGCAUCCAUGCCUUAUAGCACCGAGCUUUGUCCUCACAAGAUUCACUGUAGAGUUCGAAACAUGCCCGCCAAUACAAUCCACUGCACCUAUGAACGUUGAGUAAUUUAAUCUGUUCGUACAACAGGUGCAGGCCUUAAAUGGGGCAGUUCAGGGCUAACAACAAAUAACAACAUAUCUGGAACCAAUCCAACUAGAACCUGUUCAGCCUAACCGCCGCUCCCCAUAACCAACGCGCCAUACACGCCAAGUUAGCCACCAUUCUUGACAUCAAAGUACAGAGCGAUCUCACCAAAGUCGACAUACUUGACUAAGGAGUUCUCGUCGGGAUGGAGAGUGACGUAUUCUAAGCCCCUAUUCCGACAAAAAUUCUACUUCAAGUCUCUAAUCUCCUCGUCAUAUGGAGCCCCUACCUCAGUGAGAAGCCGACCUCGAUAAAAAAAAAUUGAGGAGAUGAGCUGUCAAAUUCAGGCCCUUAAGGGGCAGACUUUAAGGUUAAAUAAUGAACUCAAAUUCUCUAAGAAACCUCUCUUUCUUAGAAGAUCGUGGAGCAAUCGAUCCCACCUUAGUUCAAAAUACCUCAGGUAGAGCCAUAUGAUGGCACCUCGGAUCGUUUGGAUCAUUUAGAGAGCUUCAGAACUCUCAUGAUGUUGUAUGGUGCUACUGAUACCGUGCUUUGCAAAUCUUUUUCUGCUACUCUUCGCAUAGCGGCUCGAUUUUGGUUUUCAAGGCUUCAGCUCGGAUUGAUUCAUUCUUUCGAGCAGCUCGGACAUCUUUUUACUAUGCACUUUAUCUCCAGUCGAAGUUAGUGUCAUGGUUCUGAUGCGUUGCUCAAUGUCAAGCAGAGGAAAAGAGGGUCCCUCAAAGAUUACGUCAAUUAUUUUAAUACGGUGACAUUGGAAGUCUGCGAUCUAGAUCAAUCGGUCGCGAUAUCAGCAAUGAUAGGCGAUUUAACACCGUCUCAUUUCCUCUUUUCUUUGGAAAAGUACUUUUCUGUAGACUUUGCCGAGAUAUUGGCACGUGCUGAAAAGUAUGCUAAUGUAGAGAAAGCCAUGGCCUCACAUUGUGAGUCGGCUAGUGGAAGACCCAACUGAGGAUGCAAAAGGAGACAUGAAGAUCGGGGUGCGUUGAGAAGUAUUUCACCCAUGACGAAAAGAGUCCACGCCGGCCCAAUCGUCCUCCUUGAAAGUUUGAGAGAUAUACUCCUCUCACUACACUAAGGACUCAGAUCCUCAUGGAGAUUGAAGGCUGAGGCUACCUACGGCCUCCGUAUCGAAUGAAGGCAUCGAUGAAUAAAAGAGAUAAGAAGUAUUGAUGUUUUCAUUGAGAUCACGGAUAUGAUACCGAGGAGUGUAUCCAACUCAAGGACGAAAUUGAAGCACUCAUCCGAUGUGGAUGGUUGGAUCGAUACGUGCAUACUCGGUGUGGUCGAAAAAAGUUUGCCUCGGAUCAGCCACCUUCAGAGCUGAUCGACAACCAUCCGACAGUAGGAGUUAUCAACACGAUUGCUGACGGUACUCUCGCGGUUGUCAGAAGGCUGAAGCUACUCCGAAGAGACAGCACACGAGAGAUGUUAUUUCUUUCUUUGACGCCGACCUGGGAGGAGUAUAGACUCCUCAUAAUGAUGCAGUUGUUAUUUCUCUUACAACCAAAAAAUAUGAUGUAAAGAGAAUUCUAGUUGGUAAUGGAAGUUCGACUGACGUGUUAUUUUAUGAUGUAUUCCAACGAAUGAAAGCAUCUACCGAGCGGUUGUGUAAAGUCAAUACACCUCUAGUCGGUUUCUUAGGCGAUUCUGUCUCCGUGGAAGGGGUGAUUAAUUUACUGGUUACCAUGGGACAAGUGCCUAGCAACAACAGUGCGAGGUUAAAUUUCUUGGUAGUUUGAAUCCCCUCAGCUUACAAUGCAAUCUUGGGCCGAUCUGGUCUCAAUGCUUUCCGAGUUGUGGUAUCUAUCUACCAUUUGCUCGUGUGAUUCCCUACAAGAAAUAGCAUAGGAGAAAUCCGAGGUGACUCAAUAUUAGCCUCGAAUACGGCCAUAUCUUUCUCUCAUCGGUCUCAUCCGACCUUAUUUAGCUCGGUUCUCACCAACCUCAAGGCGAGCCAAGCAUCAUCCCAGCCUUGGUUCAGAAUUUUGGGGCAACAAUAGAAAUAGAUAAAUAAAAUGAAAGUGUGCAAGACAAGAAUCAUAUGGCUUCCAAAAGGAGAGCUUGAGGAGCAAUAACGACCCAAGUGACCUCAUUCAAAAGAGGUCAAUUGCCGACCGCACCUACUAGGAUCGCCGCGUGCCAACCGAUGCGAGACACUACUCAUAAUAUGGUACUUGGCACUCAAGUGUUGGGUGAUGUUAAGAUCCAUAUGUAUCUCAAUGCCAAUUGGAUUGGUGUCUGUCAUUCGAGGAGCAAAUCCCAAUCCCUUCUCAAGGCAGAGUGGAUAUGUUGCACGUUUAUUUUUAUGGGCCCAUGUAGUUUGAAUUCGUCAUUCCUAAAAUCUUUCUCAACAUUUCAGUGCAUCGACCGGACGACUGGCAUAUAUUUCGUGGAAUCAAUAACCAACCAAAUCUCAAGAUAAUCAAUAUGAUCGAUUAUAGCUCGGUACAAUUUUAAUAUGCUCGAAAAGAAAUAUCGUAGCCGACCAUAUCAGCGAAUAAGAAAAGUGUCCAAUCUUUGAGCACCUGAAAAGAAAUAUUUUAACUACUCCAAUCAGCGGAUAAAAAAAAGCUCAAUUGUCAGUCCGCAAAUCACGCGAUCCUUACUGCAUAGAUCAAUAUCCUCUUCUAUAUAAACACCAGGCACGGGGAUCUCCCAAGUAUAAAAAUAUUUGGAUGUCAUUCUCUCAUUCUCCAAUCUCUCAUGUUUACUUUUGAAACGUUGCCUGAGUUAAGCAUUGGAGGGUUUCCGGCCAAACAAGUUUCGAUUACCUCCGGAUCAUUUUCUUUGGUUGCAAAUUAUAUCCGACAUGCUUCUCUAGCCCCAUCGAGUAGAGCAAUAUCGCCCAUCAGCUCAUCCACGUAUCAGAUCAGAUUUUGAGCGGCGAUAUGUACCAUUGGAAUUGUGCGGUUAUGAAGGCGUCGGGAUUUUGUGUCUACGAGUAACAGGGUUGGCUACUUCAUUUUUCUAUGGCAGUGAGGUUGUUAUCACAGGGCACUUCUUUUUAACCACAAUUUGUUGUGCUAGAAUGUCAUCCAUGAAUCCUUGCCGCUAGUUCAUGAACCCUGAAGUUGGUACCUUUUGCGGUGUAGCAUGGACAAUGAAAAAUGGGAAUUGAUUGAUGUCAUGUGAACUACAAAAAUUCUGGUAAUGAAUUUGGCAAUGACAACCUCGACCUCGCAUUGCUUUCAAAGAAGAGUAAAUAGGUCUUUACCAAAAGCGAAUAGCUUGAAAUUAAAGAAACGCAAUCUCAUCCCUUUUGAUGUCAGGAGAUACAAAUGAUCUCGAAUGGUUGCUGUUUUGCGUGGAAUCGAAGAGAAGUAAAGUUGGAUGAGACUGAAAUGAGUAAAAAUUGAUCGCUUUGCCGAGGCCAAUCUGCAAGAAGUCUACUUGCCAAAAAGUUCUUGGCGGAGGGCUCUUUGAUGUUUAAGAUAGAAUACUAGAGUAACAGUGUGGAAGAAAAAAAAAAUUUGUAUAGAAAGGAGUCUCAAAAUGACUUUACCUAAAGAUCUCCACCCUGCCUCUUUAUAUAAGGUAGAAUACAAAUUUGUUAUUUGAUUUGACGUGGCGUGCUUUAAUUGUAUGGUAAUGAUCGGUUGCACAUUAACGAUGUGGUAACCGUCCCGCGGGAGCAGCAUACGACGACAAUCACAUCGAUCAUGUAUUAGCUACAGUGUCGUCAUAACUGCUAAUCUUUUUUAGCUCGAGCAGAGUGGUACCUCAGUUUUCACCAAGAUUAUUUAUCUUGGUUGAGACCGAAGUAAAGAGGGUCGGUCGGUUCAAGCUGAGGUCAAGAUGUUCAAUAUUACUCACAUCAGUUGUAUUUCCAAACUAUAUUUGAAUUUGAAUUCUUAAGUUGUGCAUACUUAUUUAAAUUUUCUAGAGGUUACUCUUUUUGUCACUUAGGACUUAUUUGGUUUGUAGGAAGAAUUUUUCUUACUGAAAUAUUUUUCUUCAAAAACUAGUAUGUGAUAUAUGAUAUAUGGAAAAAUAAUUUUUGCACAUUUGGUUAAUCAUAAAAAAAUAGUACAAUUUCAAAAUGGCUUAUGUUUGAUUGAGCAUCUACUCUCUUAAUUGUAAAAAUUACCUACUAUGUCCUUAAGAGUAUUUUGGAAAGAAAACCAUCCCAAUUUUCAGCCCGUAGGAAUAUAAUUUUCAUAUAUUCCACAGUAUUUUUUUUCAUGNNNNNNNNNNNNNNNNNNNNNNNNNNNNNNNNNNNNNNNNNNNNNNNNNNNNNNNNNNNNNNNNNNNNNNNNNNNNNNNNNNNNNNNNNNNNGUGGACCAUACUUUUUCCUCUUAUCGUGAACCACACGAGUCCAGGACGUUGCCUUCGGCUUCGCAUCAGAUCCUUGGCUUCAAAGUAACAAAUAUCCUCGCCAACUAAAUCAGUUAUGCUUCAUAUCGCAUCUAGGAUAACACGAUACUAGGCUACAAUUUGCUCCUUCACCCGAAAGAUACGCCGUAUGGACCCACCAUCGGCGCGAGGCCGUUAGUGGGACCCAAUACAUUUAUCCGAGAUGGUGACGGCGUAUACCAUUUUCUGAUGGAGGUUUUUCCCAGAUCACUUCACUUUGUGGCUCGACGGAAGCGUGUUUACUUUUUGUCAUUUGGAUAUCAUCCUUAUCUCAUCUCUAGACUUUAUUUGCCGUCUAAAGAUGCACUACCCAUUCAGGACCGCACAGAAUCUUGGUAUUCCAAUGUGUGAUUCGGAGCUUUGGGGUUGCUCCUUUAGGAAGAUUUGAUAUCCCCCAGAUGCAGGAUAUAUCAGCGGAUUCAAUAGUGGUUGGAUCAAAAAUUCAUCAUAUUUAUUAAAUGACUUAAAAAAAUAAAUUUAAACUCUACUUGUUUAUUAAACGGAUAACUCCACCCGUUCCGCAUAAAUUUUUUAUUAUAUAUAUAGAGUUGGAUUAAAUGAGUUAAACAUACUAAGUUAUUUUUUAAUAGGUUAAACAAGUUACGCGAGUUGGGUUAAACCUCGGUCUAUUGUACCAUCAUGCAUCGUCCGUUACGAGGCGUAUCGUACCGUCCGGAAGAAAAUCAAUAUGAAACUUCACUUUAAGUUGGUAUACAUCCGGUACCAAUCCGUACCGAGGUAUAUUGAGGUAUGUAUUAGUCUGUACCGAAGCGUGCCGACUUGUAUCGAGACGUAUCGAAAUAAAAAAAUCGAAAAAAAUAGUUAAAGAGCUAUUUUCGUACCGAUAAAAUAUUGAUGUGGUAUUCAAUAUCAAAAUUAUAGGCCUUGAGUUAAAUAAUAAGUAGAUUUAGAUAUAUUAUUUAAAUGAAUUAAAUGGAUUGUAUCAUGAUCUAAACUAAUUAUUAAAAUAUUAAAAUAAAUUAAAUAGGUUUAAACCUAAAUCUGACCUAUUUAAUAAAUGGGUCCAAGAGGUUCGCCGGUUUAUGUCAUUUCGCUGUCCCGAGUCCAAUGGGGACUGACAGAUAUGGCGAUUGCAGCCUGAGGCCACCACGGGGUGUGACGUGGACUUCCAUCCAAUUAUCCAAAAGGAGCGGGGGAUGGAGAGCCCCUCGUCCGCUUGAAGGGCCAUUUUGAUUGGUGUGCCGGCUGUCCAUACCUCGAGCCAAAUCGAUGGAUUCCUCGAGCAGAUAUCAAUUAGGAUGGCGAUUUGAUUUGAUCGUAUCAAGUAUACCAUGAGAGCGAGAACAAGACAAAUGCCGACAGACCCAUCUAAGAAAAUUGAGCGGAUUCGGCUUCUACGUAAAUGAUGGCGGAUCACUGCAAGGAAAAAAGAGAGAGAGAGAGAAAAAAAAAAAAAGGUUAUAGAGACAAAAAAAGGAGAAUAAAAAAAAUCAAAAAGAAAGCUAAAAUGUUUUAUCCCAUCAUUCAAUUACCCUAAUUUAUAAGUGGGAUGACCUUAUAUAGGCCUUAAAUCAUGAAUUGACCAAAUCAAACAAUUAACAACUAACUAAAUUUGGGCCCUUAAUUGAUUACAUACUAAAUUAAACUUUACCAACAUUAAGCUAUUAAACCAAUUGAUCACACCCAAAAUCGGACCUUUAUAAUUAGGUCUUAUAUUGAUCAAUUGAUCCAAUCACUUGACUCAACAACCAAAUCAACUUCAAAAUAAUAGAAACACAACCAAAUUGACUCAAACAAAAACAACUAAUAAGGCAAUAAAAGAAACAUAACGCAAAUUCGAAUGGACCCGAUCUAGGCUUAACUCCAUUCUGUAGCUCAGGAUCCUCUCGUAGCGAUAAUGAUGUCAUCCUCUAGUGCAGGCGCGAGCGAGUGGCUCUCAUGGCUCGAUCGUCUAAACGAACAGCUCUGAUGUCUUUAUCAGUAAAAAGCUGAGAAAGACAGACCACCCAUUUUUAGAGAAUAUCAGAAGGUUAUUAAAAAUGUGUGGUGCCUUUCAGUUUCAGACUGCGCAUAUCAACAAAAAGACGAAUAAAGCUACUGAUUGGAUCGUCUCCUUUGCCGCCCACUAUUUUGAAGAUUUUUUCUAGAUUUGUCUUGUAUCUAUUUCUUCAUUUUUGAGUUGUAUCUUUUCUUUUAACUCUAAUAGCAAUACUCACGCAAGAUUAGUAUGGGCAACGUACAAAAAAAAAAAAACUUGGUGUCUUUCAAAUUGUGCAUAUCUACAAAAAAACAAACAUAGCUACAUAUUGGAUUUUGCCGCCCACUAGUUUGAAGAUUUUUUUUAAAUUCAUCUUGUAUCUUUUUUUUUUUUACUUUAAUGGCAAUACUCACAUGAAAUUAGUGUGAGCAACGUAACCAAAAAAAAAAAAAAAAAGUACCCCACCAAAAAUUUUGGUCUCAAUCCAUAUCAUGGCGGUGGCCGCCAAUGUAACGUAUAACCGGAACGUGUCUCCAGCUCCUCCAAUCUUGCUUCGGCGCGAGGCUAUUAGCCCAAUCCCAGCCCAGAUGCGGCUGGGCCGCAUGCGAUUGAGCCUCAUGGCUGGUCGCAAGAUGGGCAGUGCCCAAUCUAGGAUUUGAUGCAAACAUUUCAAUUCCUCUAUUCGAUUAUUUCUUUUGCUAAUUAAUGGGGAAGAUAAUCUCAUUCUCUUGCAUCUACGUCUUAAGAAGCUAUAAAGCAACCAAGAUUUUCUCCUCCAAGUGGCACAAUCUGAAUGGACGAACUUGUAUUACAACAUCCAUCAUUAUAGAUAAACAUGUCGCAAAUGUUUGGCAUGCAAUUAGCUUAUUAAAAUAUUAGUCUGCACUCUGACCAACCAAGAUUUUUUUUUUCUUAUGUGGGGUACGACUGUGGGAAGAUUGAAAUCUAGAGGAAGAAAAAAAAGAAAGCAACCUCCCGAAAUCUCAGCAGCCAUGUGUAACAUGUCCUCCACCAAAAUCCAAAUCUCCCUUCAACCUUCGUUGAACAAGCUUUAAGACACUAACUUUGUUGAGCUGCCAAGUAUCCUUAAGAAUGGGAUGCAGCCCAAUGCCUAAAUUAAUGGUCAGAUCUAAAACAAUGAGAUCUCAAAUUUCCAUGGUAGCAAAGACUUAAACCUAUUGGAUUGCAAUCUUGCACAUGCUUUCGGGCCAUGAAAAUUAUUCUGUAUUUCAAUUCUUCUUUGUCAUAUUGCAAUAAAAAUUAAGUUUUGGUGGCUAAUCAAAAAUUCUUAAAAUUUUGGGAUCUAAGUUUAACUAGUUCAAACUUGGGGAGGUGUUUCUAUAAUUUUCUUUUUUGACUUUUUUCAUAUUAUUUUGCUGCAAAAGGACCAAAAUUUCUAUCAAAUUGGGGAUUUUCUUGACAGUCGUCGUGGAUAAUCAUGCACAACAAAUGACUAGUGUUAGAAUUAUUAGGAUUUUUUAUUAUCUUUCAAAAUUAUUAGGAAUUGCUAAUGUGUGACAGAAAUAAAACAGAGGGAAUUAAAUAUAAUUAAACAAGUAGUGUAGCCAAUGAAGAUGCUAAUAUUUGAUAGAAUUAAAUAUAAUUAAACAGAGGGCAUGAUGUCGAACGGAUAAACCAAACUCAAAUUUGAAGCUGGAUCGGGAAAAAGUAUCUCAAUUGGUGCUAAUAUCUUAUUCAUUUAUAUAUAAAUUUCCUUGCGUUUAUCUACUUUUUGAUCUAUAAUUUCUUUAUAGUAGUAACUUGCAUGUCAAUGUACAUUAGAGAAAAAAUAAUAUAUAAGAUAAAGUUACAUCCGUACCUUUCUACAUAUCUAUUAAAUGUACAGAGAAAUCAAUCCUGCCUUCAGAAUUUGAGAAAAUCUACUACAAAAUUAGAGAAAAUUGACAAUAUCACAUCAUUAGAGGAGCCACAUUAAUCUAAAAUUCUGGAUCACGAGUUUAUCAUAACACUUAUAGAUUAACUUUUAAUAGGCAUCAAUUGAAAAUAAAAAUUUUAAUCGGCAUCAAUUCAAAGAAUACUUUUUCUUGACUGAUCUGGACUCUUCUAAAUUAAGAUCAGUUAAGAUCCUAAUCAACGUCAAAAAAUAGCCUACAUCUACAUCAGUAAAAAAAAUCCACCAAUUUGCUCAAAAAAAAAAAAAAAUCCGCACAGUAAAGGCUCUUCCUCUUAGGCAUCACUUGAAACAAACCAAAGAAUCUUAAUCAGCAUACCAAUUCAAAAAAAAAAAAAAGAUUAAUCGGGACUCUUCCUAAUAACUCAAUUAAAAAUCCUAAUUGUUAUCAUUUCCAAAAAAGGAAAAAUAAUUGAUAUUAAUCUAAAAAGCAAAAACCAGCUAUUAAGAUUUUCAAUACCCAUGUUAAGGACUCUUCUUCAUGCCGCAUUAGUUGAAACAAAUAAAAGUAUCAACCGGAAUCUUUUAAAUCUUUUUUCUUGACUUAUCUAAUCUCUCCAUAAUUAAUACCCAAAAAAAGACUGUUACCUAAAUCCUUAACAAACCCGCUAUUAUCAUGUGGACGCCUGCAUAAUAUCUCUACUCCCUAUUUUAAAUAGUAAUUUUGUUGCACUUGGUCAAUAGAUUUAAAUUUAAGAAUGCAAGACAACAACAAAUUAUAUUGAAGGACAAACUUGACCAAAUCUGGCUUUGAUUCCUAUUCGUUGGUCAGAUUACAAGGCCUUGGAUCAGCCGGAUUCAAAAUGGAUUAUUAGGUCAAUAGCCUCCAGUGCAACCGUCAUUUAUCUUAUCAAUGACUCUUCCUAGAAAUUAUCCUCGCCGAUCCAAUCAAUAAAUGAUCUUUUCUUGGACAUAUAUAAGUUAACAGAGCAACAGCUCAUUAGGUCAUUAGCCCUCAUUUGAACCGGUUAUUCUAUUCCACGGCUCUUUCUCAUGAGUUGCUAGGUGCUUCCUUCUGUGAAUUAUACUCGUCCAAUAAACAAAUGAAUGAACUACUCUCUAUUGUUAAACUAUUGCUAAAGAUUGAACCAAAACAAAGUCAUCACAUAAGAAAAGAAGAUAUACUUUGCAAUUCCUAGCUGUUUCAGCAUUCAUAACUUCAAGAAGCAAUCCAAGAAGUUCACAAUGAAGAAUAUUAUGGAUUAUAUAUAAUGAGUAAAAGUUAAGACUCAAGGGAUAUUUCAUUACUAAAAUUUAUGAUAAGCAACAGUUGACCUGACCUUGGAUGGCCUUGGUAGAGAGUAAAUCUAUAUUAGUGUUUCGGCUGUGCUCAUGAGAAGAUGAUGGUCAUAAACCGAAAUCUAUACUAUAACAUUAACAAGAAGAAUAUAGAUAUGAUGGUACAAGAAGAAUAGUAUAUUAUGAGAAUAAAAAAUAAAUAUACAAUUUAAGAGAAUAUUUAUGCAAGUUUAAAUUUUUAGUAGGAUAUUUAUGAAAAAAAAAACCCUAUAUAAUGCAACAUUAAACUUGGUCUUAUCACCCUACCUACGCUCACGCAAGAAUGGAUCAUCCAGCGCAGUCAACGUCAGCCUGAACCAACCCAAAAUAUAAGCUGAUAAAUAGGCAAUCUCCUAAAACAACAAGAACAGCAACCAGCCCUCCACGCCGACGUGUCCUACUUACACUCACAAGUUCGGUGGGCCCCACUUUAGUUUCGUCGAACAUUAUAUCACCAAGGACAAGGAGGCUGUUUGCUGCCGGCCAAGACUCAGCUGAGCUCUACCCUUCCAUACGCCCCCUGAAAUGGACCGAAUCACAAGCGACAGGCACCAGGAAAUUUCCCUGCAAUUACAGCUGGCCCGGCCCUGGUCCACGAGCGUGGGUCCCAUUGCUUCACGGGGGAGACCUAAAAGAAGCGUAGACGCGUGCAACGCCGGCUGGACCCCUUCCGGAAGCCCCACAGGACCCCACUUAGUUCAGAAGGGACAGGAACAUGUUUUCAUCAUUAAGCAAUCAAACGACCAAUGAUAUCCUUCCCUUGCGAGCUGUCUCUCCUCUGUCUCAUCGAUCUAGAAAAGACCCAUAAAGUUGGUGACUCGGUUCAUGGAAAAGGAGGAUGGUUGCGAAUUUCUUGAGAUUUUAUACGGAUAUCAUUUCACAUCGUGCAGAAAUUAGAAUAACUCCAAGAGGACCAAGACCUAGAUGGAGUCCACGUCUAGUGUAUAAAGCCUUCCAAGUUGCAAUCCUCUGGCCAAGAAAAAUAGACAUGGAAUCACGAAGGGCUCCCUUCUUCUUCCUGCUGCUCCUGGUUUCAAUCCAAUAUCUUCACCUCUCCGGGUUUGCAGAAGCCAGGCCACUGCCGCUGCCCUCGGGGAAACAAGAGAGUAAGAGCUUCUCUGAAAGUUACUGAAGAAUUUUACCUGUUUAUGCUGUGUCCGUCUAAUUAUGUGUAUUUGAAGGGAUGGGUAUGAAAGUCUAAUGAGUCUUUCAAUCAUGGCGUGGUUCAGGGCAUGUCAAGGUGCUGGAGUCGCUGGGCCUCCUCUGCCGGUGCUGCGACGGAGUGGGAGGGGAGUGCAGGAGCGCCUGGGAAUCCACCUGCACCAAACUCGACUGCCGUCCCUGGAAAUCUUUGUGAUUUUGGCAUCUCAAUUUUGGUUUUCUGGCCUUGUAAAUAACUUCUGAAGAGUUGGUACUUGAAGCAUCAAGCAAAGCCAUGCAAAUGCCUUCCAUAAUAGCUAGUCUCAAUAGGAUAUGGUGACCUCUGUGAAUUGCACUUGACUAGGAACUUUGGAAUGGUGCAAUUGUUGGGCAAAAUCAGCAUGAUCAUACACAAACAUUACAAAUUGACAUCACAGAAGUUAAUUAGAGCCAUGGGCUUGUUCAAAGAAAACAAAUAAUGAAGUAACGAGAGCAAAAUGUCAGAGGAGAGAAUGGUUACAUAUAAUAGAAGAGGAAGAUGUUGAUUACUUGUCCGGUUUUGACUCUGCUUUCAUUUGCCAAUGCUCUUGAGUAUGGUAAUCGAAAAUCUGCUUUCAUUUGCCAAUAUAUAAAAGAUGUUAAUUGCUUGUGUAGUUUAUACUUCAGGAUGGUAAUUGCUUGAUAUAUAUCAGUCCCCUGAGAUGCAUCAACGACAGGUCCAUUAUCUGCAUGAAUUGCUUCCCAUAAAAACAUCCUACCCUUUACCAGAUCACUAUCCACGGAGCCUGGUUCGCAGUACCUCUCCGAUAGACCAAAGAAGGAAAAGAAAGAAGAGAAAACUAUGUAUAUAUAAAAGAGUGAAGCCCAAGAGGCAAAUCAUCAAAUGGGAUCAUCUGACAAAUUGAAAACAUUACCUUGAUUUGCCAGCAGAAAACUUGUUUUGCGCAUUGCCUGCAUAUAUAAUAGGACACGUACUCUGUGGGAAAUGUUGUCAUCCAACAAGAAUGACAUUGUUAAGCAGAUGCAAAUGAUGAAUAAAGUCUAGUAGUAAAAUGCGAAUAUCAUGGUCCAUUAGUAAAAACACUGCAUUGGAUGACAAGGGAACAACAGAUCUCCAACAAAACUUUUUGAAUAGAUGCAUGCAAGUAGCACCAGCAGUAUGAUCUCAGUGAAGAGGGAAUAAAAAAUUAGACCAACUUCAUGGACAUUAAAAUAUGAGAAAAAACCCUUAUUAGUUACAUGUAAUGUUGAUGCAAACUCCCCUUCAUUUACCUGGUGGUGCACUGUGAGCAUCACCUCAAAAGCUCUCAUGUUCUGGCCAAAGUUCAGGGUCAAGCAUGCCAAUUAUGUUGUUGCUCUCUGCUUCAAUUUCAUGGUGUAGUGCUGUACAGACCUAGAAAAUGCCAUGAAUUUGUGGUGUGGAGCUUCAGCGUUUUGCUUGGAAACACAGAAACUAUUUCUUCCAUGCCAGCGAAAAUGUCAAAAUAUCACAUAUGUAGAUGAUAUUGUCACAGGGGUUCUACCCUAGGCUCUUACUGGCAAACUUUUCAUAUUCUUUGAGUUAGCUUGGCUGCAAAAUCACUGAAGCUUCUUUUAUGUGCUUCUCCAACUCAAUACAAUGUGCUCGGACUAUGAUCAAAUUUUUCUCGUAGGAUCUUUUAUGCAUACGGAUGUGCUCUUCUGGGCCUAGCGAACAAGUUGGUCAAAGAAUUCACAAUUCAGCUUUUGGGCACACUCUGAUUGAUGCUACGAGAGUGUGGAAAUCUAGCGAUCAAACAUGGCAAUGCAUUGAGUCUGGAUUUUCAAAUUUUAUGGACUGCUCCUUAAAACUACAUCUUAUUAAAGGUUUUCUUCUCAUAAACAUCUUAUUCUACGAUCUGUGUUAAAAGAAAGUUCUAACAUCCCAAAAGAAAUUUGCCCCCAUAUCCAACUGAAAGAUGCUAACAUAGUAUAUGGAAGGUGCCAUUACUUUGUUAGAAAGAGGCUACACUGUCAUGUAAUGUACUUUGAUAAAUCAAAUCAAUAACAUUCACGAGAACUAGUAUGAUAUUUAGAUCAAUUAGCUUAAGGGAUCAAAUGCAAAGCAUCAUUAGCUAGUUCACUGGGAACAUUCGGAUAUGGUAGUAGUUCUAUGAGUAUAAAAAAUUUCACAGAUUUAUUACCAAAAAAAUGAAGGAAUGACAUUACCUAGCAAAAACAUUUCUCCAUCAUCCAUGUAUUGCACCAACAUUUUUAACAGAAUCACAUGUGAUUUUUUUUUUCUUUAAUUGCUUUUUAUUUUUUUGAGAACUAGGAUGGGAGGAAGCCCAGCUGAAAAUCAGGUGAGGGUGGAACUCAAACCCACCAGUUAAUUUACCAACAGCACCAGCUGGCAAUGUUGCUUUAAUUUCUUUAUUAAUGCUCACCUAAAGAGGGUGUUAUCAGGAUAUUUGUACCAAUUGGUCAUUAGACACAAAAACAGUGCUCCAGCUUGACCAGUGGCCCAAAGAAUAAAAGCCCUACAACAGGCCAAUUACAGAAGGUACUGACAGACAGCUCAAAUUUGAUGCAAGACGUGUCCUUGUCCUUAAGAUUGCAUGUUGGUUUUAACAAAACUAUGCCAUUCCAAAACCAAUUCUGUUCAAAACCUACCAAGCAACCAUAUCAUUUCCAUUUCUUUGUGAUAUACAAAAUCUAGUUGGCUUAGAUUGGGAGCUUACCUGUCCCCAAGCACUUGCUCCAAUAGACUAUGGUGGAUAGACUCAGUUAAGUACUCAUCAUGCAGCUUCUCCCCCAAGUACACUAAUGUAAACCUGUCACAUCAAAUGAUUUCCAACCCAUCAAUCCAUCUCAAAGCUUAUUUGCUUUGUAGCAUCAAAUAAUAGCAAGUACCAACGACCUUCUGCAUACACAGUUCUUAUCAUAGAUUAAUGCUCACCUGUUUGUCUGCAUCGGCACAAAUGGAAAUUGGAAGGAGAGAUGGUGAGAAUGGUGGUGAGAUGAAGGAGCAAUAUCCAUGCAGUAAAUGAGAAAGCAAUUACAGCAUAAAUGAGAAAGCAAUCACAGCAAUCUUUCAAUUUGCUUAGGCAAAAGUGCAAAUAAGUUAUUAGAAGAUAAUAAGCUCUGUGUUAUUCAUUUGUUCUAUGAAACAGUCACUAUUUCAUACAUCCCACCUCUCUCUAGUGAUAUAUGGCACCAUGUAUCGAGAAUCACUUGGCACACUUAGGGCAUGUCUGGAAAAUCCAACAGGAUUGGGCUGAAUUUCUAUAGGAAUCGGGCUUGUUAGCCUGCUCAGUCCCUUUUUUUCUAAAGGGCCGUCCUAGUCUUGGCCUAAAUUCCAUCUAUAGGCCUGUUGGACAGCAUGUUGAGAAAAAAAAAACUAUGGAGGUCUUUUUUUUUAUCCCAUGGGAUUUGGGCUGGAGAGAGAUUGGGUUGAUAUGGACCUUACCUAAAUAGACUAUGUAAUCCAUGAUCCAACAAGAAAUCCAACCUAAUCUUGCUGGAUUUCCCAAGAAGACCCUUACUAUGUGAUAGAUACUGUCAUCCUUCAUAUUUGGAAUAUACCCAACGACUCAUGAAUACUUUACAAACAAACCAAGAUAUGACCUAUUCUGGUUAACUAGGUAGAUUUUAUUCCUUAUGGUGGUGGCAGGAGUGACAAAGAAUAGUAGGUCACUUUGAUGUCUCAUUACAUAUUCGACACAUGUCAUUCCAUUUGCUAUGACUUAUCAUUUCUCUAAAGGAGCAUUUGGAGGCUAAUCACAUCACUACGAGGAGGAUUCAUUCUAAUUUGGCACCGUUUGGAGCCUGCAUUACAUCAGGCACAUCCCUUUUACCUCCGAAAAUUAACGGUCCUGUUUGUAGUUUAGUAAUCCAGGGGCAUGAUAAAUGCAUCUUAGGGAAAAGAAAAUUCUAUUGAUAAAAACAUUUGUACAUCACUUUAUAUUUUAAAAGAUAGAAGAUAGGAAAAGCUGGGAGAGAAAGGACAGAUUAUUCAAAGAUAAAAAUGUCAGCUAAUAUUAAUACAUUUAUACAUCCAUUUACAAUUUUACAUUACAGGAAUCUUUAGAAAAUUUAUCUACAUAACGAGUAAAUGAAUUUUUAUUAUAAUUACCAAUAAUAUGAUGAAUAGGAAAUGAUAUUAAUUUUGUUGCAUAAAGUUCUGGUAGAGAAAGGUCAAAAGUAAGUACAUAAAGUUCUGCAAUCUCAACAACACCUCUCACAGGCAUUGGCUCUUCAGUUUUCAGAUACACUGUUUCCAUUUAUAUCCGAAGUUAAGACAAAACUCAUUGGAAAAGCAUAUGGCAGAUAGCAACCUUUGAAAAUGUACACAGAUAAGAAGUACAUGAUCAUCUGAUAUAUGCUGGGACUUCAGCGAGCUCUCCGAAUCCAUUGAAGGCAAGCAUGCCCAUAAAAUCUAGACCAUGUAAUUUUCACCUCUGGAUUCAUUGAUGGUGAUAUGCUAUCCAGCCAUAACAUAAUUAGUUUCUAACAUAAGUAGGAAACAAUACAUUCAGCACCAAGAUUUAGAUAAAUAAUAAAUAUGCAAUCAUCUGCUAUUAGAGACACUUAAAAGGCAACUUUACUGCCCAAGCAAAUUGGAUCUGCAAACAGGCGAAUGCACCCACUUAAAAAAUCAAGGAUAUGAACUUUUUUUGUUUUUAAGAAUGGUUAAUCAAUAGAGGAGUAAGAAAAAUACAUAAGGAAUAUGGACAAUAACGGCCGGGGGGGGGGGGGGGAGGGGGGGGGGUAGGUUGGGUUGUCNNNNNNNNNNNNNNNNNNNNAGGUUGGGGUUGUUCGAGCGGAAAUGGAUAGCAAAGGUUGAGAAGAGGGUUCCAUACCGUUGGGUGAGUUUCCAAAUCAUGUAUAAAAGUAGAAAUCGUUGCCUCUUUUAUCACAGGAAUAGCAGCUCCAGAAACACAGUGACUAACUAUACUUCCAUCCUAGACAUGGCGUGGAAUCAUUAGCGGAGCAAAGAUCCCCGUCAAUGCAGUCACACGGAGGAGACGGAGGCGAUCAGCAGCAGGCGCCGCCUCUGGGUGAGAGAUUUCAUCGAACGCCUUCCGGGCAGGAAUCUUGGUUCCCGGGGCCACCUCGAAUCUAAGCGGUCUUCUAUCUUCAUCGACCCGGGCGGCCCAGAUCUCCGAUGGGCCCCGAAUCCCAUAUUGCGGCUGGACGCGAGGGCCAAGCGCUUCUCUGAUGCUUUUCGAUGAAAAGAUAAAGCACCUGGAACCAGACCCGUGAAAAACUGGGUAGUUCUGCGAGCAUCCUACUACUACUCCUGCUCCCUGUCCUCGUCCCCUAUAAAAGUACAAGCAAAAUACCCUCGCGAUGCGGAAGAGGUAAAAAAAAUAAUAAAUAUAAUAAAUAUUUAUUAUUUCUUAGUCACAUGGCUUAUUGAUGAUACGGCAGGGAAUUUGUCUCAAUUUUUUCUUGAAAUUUUCAAUAAAAAUAAAAAAAGCCUAUAUAUCAAACUUGAUGCAAGUAUUAGUAAAACCAAAUUAGUAAUUCAUAUACUUCGUGAUCGAAAAAAGCUAGACAAUAUUUCAACAAUACGAUUACCUCAUAUAAUGGACUCUUAAGAUUUCGUUAGUAUUUUUUUUAGAAGUACGGCCCAGAUGCUACCAACGAACGGGUUGGAUUCCUGGUUCUUUUUAUUUUGAAAAAUAUUUUAUGGAAUUAUUUCUUUCAGAAUUCGGAUUAAAUGGGAAAAAAAUCUGACCUUACUCUUUAAAAUAUUUAUUUUAUUUUCAGAAUAAAUAAACUACUUUUCUGUAUUUGAUUUUCUAAAUGAGUAAAAAAAAAUGUUUAUUCCAUUUAGUUUUCAUCCAACACGCAGCCAAACACAGCCUUCAUACUAACAAUAUAUUUAGAAUAUAAAAGUAUAAUAUAAUAUGAGGCUCUUGAUAUGUACAAAAUCACAGGCGUUCAUCAAAUGCUCCAUUUUUUAAAAAAUAAAUCACGUACCUCGGAGUUCACUAACGUGUCAUGAUAUUUUUCCCCAAAUCUAUAAUAAGCACGCCAUAUCGGAGGCCACAAGGAACUGGGUUAAUUGUUUGUUAAAGUGAACCCACACAAAACUACAAGUCGCAGUACACUGUGCUGUGAAAAGAAUAAUGGUGAACGCCAAGUUCGACUUCCUGUGAAGUCCAUGUAACACGCUAUAUCUGUUUCAGACAAGGAUGCAGCAGAGAGCUGACAUUUUUGCGUGGAAAGAACAUACCCUGCAUCUCACUCUCAUCCAGUUGUGAAUGGCUAGGCCAGCUCAAUUUUGAAGUUCACAUCAGCUGUGCUAAUCUUCUGUGUGAGAUCUUAGGCAGACACUGCUCUCUCCAUUAUAAAUUUACGGACACGGACAAAGCUUGGACUUUGUACCAGGUAGAUGGCUGCCAUGCUUGGACUUGGUAUGAGGAUUGAGUCAUAACACAACUGUUAUGAAGCUUGAGGAUAUGGAGUAGAGGGGAUACGAGCUUACUUCCAAGUAUGGCCCUGAUUGGUCAUGAAAUAUGCUUGUGGCAUUAACAAUAAUAUCAUCUAACUCGAACAAUAAUAUCAUCCAACUUUUGAGCAAAUAAAUGAUGGAAUAAGUUCAAAUAGGACAGAAAGCCAUGCAUGUUUUUCUGAAAUGCAGGCAUUCUUAGAAUACAACAGUGUCUAGCAUGGCCCCCAAUGUCUGGACUAUAUUAGAUGACAUCAGGUUUGAGACAUGCUCUUCUAGACGCUUCUUCGCAUCUUGCCUUCCAACAUUUGCAAUUGCCAGCUUCUCUGGUGGCAGCUCAUCUUCCUCCCGAACCGCUUUGUUAUAUUUGAUGGCCAAAUUUAGCAUUUCCUGUUUUCAGGCCAAACAUCAUAAGCUAAAUUCAUCAGAGAAUUCGGCAAUUAAUUCACGGUUCACAACUAGCUGAUGGGAAUUGAAAAAUUUUACAGCAACGUGAAGCAAAUUUCUAUCAUGAUGAUAUCACAGCACAAUUGACAGGAGCGGUAAGAGAGCUGAAGAUCCAGGCAACGUUACCUGCACGGUCUGUUCAUUAGUUUUAGAAUGAGCGUCGAACUGCCGCAGUGUCAGGCCAUCAGUCCAUUUCUUUUUGUGCAGGUUCAGCAACAUCUUUUCUUCAAGCUCAUUUUUCCGAUAGUUUAUGGCUAUAGAGUAGUAAUGCCGAUUCAACCCAUGAAUGAGUGCCUGGUAAAUGAAAACCAUUUAGAAAGGGUUACUUUGCAUUAAGACAUUUAAAUGAAGGUUACACAACUUACUGCUUCAACAAGCAGUUUACCUGAAUAGAUGGCUUGUUGAGAUGCCCAACAUUAGAAGUAGUCUGGCGAGGCUCUUGGCCUAGCAUCAUGGUCUGAGGAUUGAUCAAGCGGAAAGCAUCAAUAACCACCUUCCCCUUAACACUCUGAAUUGGAUCUAUGACAACUGCUACUGCCCUUGGAUUCAAGGCUUCAAAACUCUGCAAGAGGCAUGAAAGCAGUUUAAUGCCCAGAGCCACAUGGUAAACUUAGUAUUAAUGAUAGAAUUAACCAUAUGAAUUGGCAGUAAGAUUUAAAAGGAGGUCUGGAGUGAAAGGGAAGGAGGCACGACAUUAGUCCCAGAACCAGUGAAACAAGAAAAAAGAAUCACUCUUCUUCCAAAGGUAGUGCAACAUCCUACCAAAACAUAGUAACCAAGCAUGUUAAGCCAUUGGAUGUGUGAUUUGGACAAAGAAGAGAAAAGACAAGUUCCCCCAUCCUUAUCCAAAACAAAAAAAAAGUUGAUUACCUGCUGCGUAUUUAUAUCAACACCAGAAAGCCAACAACCAAAGCCUGGAUGAGAAUGGUACCACCCCACAACCAUCUCGGGCCUGCACAAUUAGGACCAUAGUUAUCCACGAUUACUCAGAGGAAGUCUUAGCAUGUGGAAAUAACCAAAAUAAAGAACAGCGGUUCCAAUAAUGAAACAAAGCUAUCGUUCUGCAGGCCUAAUAAACAUCAANNNNNNNNNNNNNNNNNNNGAGUUGUUAAUGUAGGAAGUUAACAAAGCACAACUAUUGGACAAUGUAAUAACUAAAAAAAUAGAAAUAAUAAUAAAGUGAGAGGAAGGAGCGGCGGCGGCAGCGGUGGCGGGGGGGUGGGUUGGUUGUGGAGAGCUAGCUUCGUGGAAUGAUAUAUGGUGGCCAUUCCUAAGGAGUACACAUUUGACCAUCAUAGGUUCUACUCCAAUCCAAAGCAAAAGUUACUGCCUUCAUGGAACCGAUUAUCACACAAAGCAGUUAGAAUUAGUAAAUUGCAUGCUUGCAAUUUUAAUCCUUUUGGAGAUAAACCCACCAGCAUAGCUCCUUAUUAUCCCUUUUAAUAUCUCCACUGGAUUCCCUAAAUAGCAAAUGCUAACAGCCAGAUAUUGGAUUUAACUUAACGACCUAAAUUCCAGUGCCAGCUAAUGGCCUAAAAGGAUGGUCCAUCAACCUACCAGACAUUGGCCAAAGAUGCUUUCUGCCUGGGCUCUCUUUGAGGUGUCAAUACCUUCUCCUGAAAUCUAUUUCUAGGAUUUCAUUAUAGGUACAGACUGGCUUGGCUGUUAUCAAAAAAAUGACAGGUAUAACCUCCAGAAGGUGGCAAGACAGAAUGAACAGAAGAAUGCCACAAUUUAGGAGAUGAAGAAGAACUUAUCACACCAAGAACAUGAACUGUUAAUGCAAAACAGAUAAACUACCUCACAUCGGCAGAUCCAAGGUAAUUUUCCUGCAAAUAAGAAAAAUAUACAGCGAUGGAAGUUUCAAAUACCACUUCACAUCCCAGGUAACACUUAAGUCAUCGAGUCUCUCUCUCUCUCUCUCUCUCUCUUCAACAGCUAAUACUUGAAUCACUUCACAUCCUAGGUGCAUGCAUGCACAUGCACACACAUAUGCAUUCUACUGAAGUCUAGUAGAUGCAGUCACCUAAUAGAACAAUACAGCAAGACAAAGAACACAACAAUGCAACCAGAGAAAUGGGGAUCUCAUAUUCCAUUCACCAUAAGAUUUGAAACAUACUUCUUCUUUGUUCCAAGAGGCCAAAGUAGUUGGCACAAAGCUUCUUAACACUACAUCCCUCCAAAAGUCUAUCCUCCCCCAUCCUGACACCAAUUAUGGAACAUUUAGCAUGAUGAAUAAACCGACCAUUAACUCGUCGCGAACAGCCAGAAAGGAAUUAAAGCUAACCAAUAUUUGCAACUCAUGCUCACAUAACAUCGGUAAGUAAUCCACAUACUGCAAUCAGGAUUAUAGCAGACCUUAGAUAGCACACGUCUGAUACAAUACCUUAUAAUAAUCAUAAAUAAUAAAAGAAACUGUCGAAUAAUAAUGCCAGACACUUGAGAUGAACCCGCAACCAAAAUAAGAGAGAAAGAUGAGGACCUUCCGGUCUGCUUGAGCAUAUCGAGCAUGUUGGUCUGGAAGACGUGGUCGACGGCCUCGACGCUGACGCCGGUCCCGCUCUGCGGCAUGGCGAAUACGUCUACCACCCGCACCGUGUACUCGUCCACGAACUCCCCCAGCAUCAGCCCCAUCACCUCCAUCGGCACCCCAGCCCUCCCUAUUUUGAUUUCAUUUCAUUACAUUUCAAUCAAUUAUUCUGAUAUACAUAUUCGUAAGAAGGAAGAGAACCCUAAUUUAAAGGAAAAUAGUACUCGGAAGAAGAAAACCCACCACCCUAGAUGAUCUGGUGAUGGAUGGAUGGACGGAUGGAAAAUGAAUUAAUUACCGUGCUUGAGCAUCUUGAGGAGGGCGAGGGAGGAGAUGUAGACCUGCUCCGACGAGUCCACCAGCGGGGAGUCCGUCGGCGGGUGCCCCAUCCCUCCCGCCCCUGAGAAGAUCCGAUGCAGCCUCUCCAUCCCGCCCUUCCUCUCCCUUGCGUUCCUCUCCUCUCCUCUCCGCUUUGGGUUUCUCUCGCCAAGCAAGAAACUCCGCCUUCCAGCCCCGAGCACCAAGCCUUCUUCUCGUCCCGGUCCAACCUGUACCAGUCUUAAAGGUUGGGCCCGCGCCUCUUAUAGCACGGUCAAAAUAUUUUUAGCAAAUUAAUAUAAAAGAAUAAUAGAGAACUAACUAGAAAAAAAGAGAUAUUUGAUUUCAUCGACGGAAACGAAGCCUCCAAAAGUUUUUUUUUUUUUACUGGUUUUAUUAAAUCGAUCACAUUGACCGCUUGCCUCCGUAGCCAACAGGAGAAAGAUGUCUUGACCAUAAAGAAAAGGCAUAAUCCUAAUUAUAAUAAAAAAUGUAAAUAAAAGUAAGUUAUAAAAAAUAAAUAAAAGUCGAUUGUGAUUUUCUUUUCCAGACUACGAUUCGCUUCAAAAUGGCACAAUCUAGUUUAUGUGGACAAAUAGAGAUAGCAAUAGAUGUGUUCCAUGAUAAAGAUUUGAUCUCUCUUACACCUGAUCAUUCUUCUUUCAGACAUAUACAAAGUAUACAAAUUUAGCAUUUUCCCCUUGUUUCGACCUUCUCCAACAUGUCCAGCAUGAUACAUUUAACAUGAUGAGUUAUGAUUGAUUUCAUCACACACCACAACACAGAAGUAAAUAGCAUCUUUUGUUUCUGUCCAUCCUUCAUAACAAGUUGAACAAUAUGAUGCAGCUUGAUCAAAAGCUGAAGUCCAGAUCCAAGGCACCAUGUUCCAAAAUGUAAAAGCAACGCAACCAAAACAACUAGCCAAUCUUGAGACAGUCGUCCAUCUAUAAGUGUUUGUUACACGAAACUAUAAUUUCAUUUCUCAAAAGAACGCAUAAUCCACUUCAUAAUGACUCUGUAUACAUACAUGAGCACAUUGACUAACAGUGCAAACAAGAGACGAGCCCCAAGAUAGCAGACCCAUAGAGAUCUCUCAGGUGUGGAGAUAAUUAGCUGCCAUCAUCAACUCCAAAGUUAUUUCAGGUUCAAUAUGAAACUCUGUCUCCAUUCCACUGCCAACAACAUAGACAAAAAAGAGGUUAAGGAAUAAUUUUAACAGAAAUAGUAAGAAAGCACAGAAGGCUUUAAAAUUAGUCGCUUUUUAAGCUGAGAAGAAGCGUGUGAGGCAAAGCAUAAAGAUCAAGGACAUUGCUCGUUUGUCAUACCAGUUUAAAAAGUGAAGUUCAUUGAAUUCUUAUUCAGUUUAAACCUUUACAGUAACACAAACAAUCAAGAAUUCUGGCACAAACAGACCCGAAAUCAUACAUACAGUACACCACUUAUGUGGUAAAUUUGGAAAACCAACACAUCCAUUGAUAAGAGAGGAAAUUAUCUCUGUGAUGAACACAUAAUCUAGCUAGAUGUCCACUUUAGUCAAUAAAUAAAGUCACAAGCUCUUAUUCACAAUUCCGUCUGUCCUUUCACCGUCCAACUUCAUUUAUCCUUUCCUAUUUCUAACAAGAUUUUCAACAUGCAUGACCGGCUUGAAUGGAUAGAAAAACAAGUGCAUAAAUCAGGCAUGAGCAUUAUUUGCCAGAGCAUAUUAAAAAAUCACUCUCUUGCAAUAUAAACAAGAUGCUGCACAAUCUGACAAACACAGAAACUACAGCAGAUUUAAGUGCAUUGUAUACAUGAAUAAAGCAUUUGCUCAUCUCGCACUACUAUUUGCAGAUUCGAGUUUUAUUAGAGUAAUAAUGAACUAAGAUUUUUCUGAAGCCUCUUGUGAGGUGAAAAGUUAAGAGGAUAUAAGUUGUGAGUUCCUCCAAGCACUGAGAAAUUCAAAUAGUUCAAUUUUUUAAUUAUAUCUGGGUGCAGGGCACGCGAAGGGGGUGGUGGGAAUCCUUUCACAUGGUCAGUUUCUUUUUUUUAAGCAUUGCCCUUUACACCCUAAUAUGUAGGUGAAAACCAUCUAAACAAACCAUACGUCACACAAAGACAUAGUGCCCAAGCCCUAUAGGAGCCACAGCAUUGGGUGUGGCAUAUCUGGCACAGGUAUACGUGGCUUAUGUGUGUACAAAGCGCUCCUUAUAAUCCACUCGAGGGUUGCUAGCUACAAGCACCAAAACUACAUCAUAAACAUACAUACUUUUAAAUAUAUAAAACUGCAAAGUCCAGUGAUCUAGACAUGGUCCCACAAUGUGGAAAUUCCCCACUUUGGAUUGCAAACAUUGAUUAACCCACCAGUCUUUCUCUACCUCAAAGGCAUGAAUAAGUGUAAGAGGUGGAGAAUAACAUAACUGACGACAAAAGUAUGUUGCAUUCAAAUUGUAACAAUAAAGUCUAGUCUAUAAACAUAUCAGAAACAAGAAUAUACAUGAAAGGAAGGCUUUGUUAGCUUUUGUUUUUGGUGUUUCAUCUUCAAAAGCAUUGUGUAUUGAAUGGCUGUAUGGGCCUUGCAGGAAGAGAUUUCGACCUAGCUUACACUAAAACUAAUUUAAGAGCCAUUAAUCUUGGCAAUAAUACAACACUAUCAAUUUGAACUCAUCCAAAACCAAAAUAUAAUAUUAAUGAGUCAAACUUCUUAUAAUAACCGGGCAUUAACUAGCACGAAAUUCAAUCUGAACCAACACAUCAAGUGUGGCAUCAAAUUAUUAACACAAAAGUAAUAUCUCAUCAUAUAAUAAGCCUUGAUGAUUAUCUUCUCAGGUAGAAGAAAUACAAGAUACCAUCAUUCGUCGAUGAAGUGAAGACUCGUAUUGUUACAAUUUUUACUUUUUUUCUAAAUAGCAUUCAAGCUUUUCUCAAUCAUUUCUUCAAGAUCCUUCCUUGCCUUAAAAACUUUGAUCAAAAGUCAUAUAUUAUACUUUUUAUAGAUUAUAUAGCUUCCUUAAUUAAACAUCAUGAUUCAUGUAUAACUUUUGCAAAUACCUGAUGCAGUCAUACCAGUGCUAGGGAACUGAACCCCAUCAAACAGUUUCUUACAUAUUUCUUUAUUGAUAAGAUCUACCCCUCAAAAAUAUUUACAGAACACAUAAGAUGGAAUGCCUAACUACAUUGAUGUGAGCUAGCAUCACUUGAAAUCCAUACUAGGCAAAUCCUAUAGCUCUGAAGUCCUUAAGAAACUGAAGUGAAGCUAGUAGGCUCUUGAUAUAUAACAUGUGUGAGCCUGAAUUCUAAAAUGUUUUGAAAAAUAAUAGAUGCAUAACACCUCAAUCUUCAAAUAUUCUCUCAUUGUUCGAGAUAAAUAAUAGAGGACAGAACAAUAACCUGGAUACAUUAGCAAUCAACAAGGUAGUCAUGUGAGAUGGUGGUCUUAGGAUGUUAUCCAUCAGUUCUGAACAGUAUUUGACAACAUCAAGAUGCUAACCCUCUUUAGAUCAGUUGCUGAAGCAGAUAGUUGUCUCCUUUCCUCUUUUGGAAUGCAAUGCUGGACAAAUUGAUUAACCCUGUUCCUGAUGCCAUUCAGCAUGAGGGGAUUUUCUUUGUUAGCUUCAAGCUAACAAAAUCCUUAAGUUCAACGGGAAAGAUUCUGUCUUAUAUUUGAUAAAUCACAUCCUCACCCUAAUUAAGAGAAUGCUGCUUAGUAGUCAGAACAACCGUAGAUUCAACAAAUAAUUUAAAUUAGUCUAUUUGUGAUCUCUUCUGUCACUGGUUGUAGUUCAUUAUUUGUACAUGUCCUUAGUUUGAAUGGGAAAUCAAGGUUGACAAGAUGGAUAUUAACUAAUCCAUUGCAGAUGCUUUAUUGCCAAAUGCCCAAACCUCGCAAGCUACUACGUUGGAAACUGAUAGCUUCUCUAUAGUAGGAUCCACAUGCAAUAUAUUCACAAAACUUAAAAUGAACGCAAAUGACUGAAUGAUGUUCUUACAAAGCACAUCUUGUCUUGGGUAAAGGUUUUCUACUUAUUAGACUUGUCUGACAAUCCUCCUGCAUCUACCCUUCUUUUUCAUUAUAAAGGGUUUUUCUUUUGGGAGGGCCAAUAUAAAGGCAUAUGCACAAAAACUGAGAAAUACAACAUGGAUUCCGAAAUUAGAGACUCCAGAACGUACUGGAAUUGGUUAUUCAUACAAUACCCGACUUGUCAUCAACACAAUCGCCUUCCCGGCUUACCGGAAAGAAAGCCCAUGCCUUGUCAAACAAACCAUGGCAUACAAUUUUAACAGUUUAGAAUCAAGCACUGAAAGUUUCUACAAGCAGCAUACUAACAGCAUGAGAACAACAACCUAUCCAUAUAACUACUGGAUUAGGAAACUGGAAAAUGCACAUUACAUGUAGGUAAUUCUUCAAGUUACUUAUCAUCAAAAAAAAAAAAAUCAACUUUAUUGUAAAUUUUAGCUCAUUGUUUCUUGAGGAGUAGAUGCUACAAAAGUUCUGGUGGUUCUCAGCAAAAAUUAGAUGCGAAACUGAUCAUACAAGGAUUGCCACUAAGAAUCCAAAACCAAUUCUCUAUCCAGCUGUCCCUGCACUAAGGAUAAUCUCUAAAAUUGCUAACAUGUAUGCCCCGAUAAGACAGAUUGCAACAACUGAUAAGCACAGACACAUUUGGCCCUCCUUGAUUCAAAUAUUUUGGAAUCGGACUGGUACGUCUAGUGUGAUGACCUUAAAGAUCCACCAGAAAAGGAACGAAUCACAACUUGGUAAG